rnacentral:lncRNA from 1 species
UAAUAAAUAGAGAAUGAAAUCUACACUUAAUUAGAGAAUAAUUCUCCUGAUUACGCAAUACAGAUGGAAACAAAAGAAAUAAAAAAUAGAAGUUACAUGAAAUGCUCACAAACAACUUGAAUGCUAUUUCCUACCUCACUAAGAAAGCAUGUACAAUUUCAAGUUCUAAGAAUGGAUGCUUAGAAGCAUUUACAUUUCACAACUCCCAUUGCUUCAAUCUCUCUAUCAGAUGUAGUUUUCCCUGGACUUGUUUAGGUAACUCAUCCUCUCAUAAUCCAACUUCAAACCCUUGUACUUGUUUUCUCUUCAUCAUAUCUUGACACAUGGGUAGAACAGACUUUGGAAAGACUUAUAAUAUCACACUCCACACAACACACUGUGACCAUAAGUAUUUCAAAAACAGCCACCUUACUCUCUCUUCUCAAGGCUUGAUUCAAGACAAAAACAGUGGUCAAGAGUAAGAUCUCUAAAGAGGGUCUCUUCUACUCCCUCCAGAUAUAGAAAAGGAUNNNNNNNNNNNNNNNNNNNNNNNNNNNNNNNNNNNNNNNNNNNNNNNNNNNNNNNNNNNNNNNNNNNNNNNNNNNNNNNNNNNNNNNNNNNNNNNNNNNNUGUCUUCCAAUAAAAUCAUUAAUUUAAAAUCAAAACCUAACAAAAGACAAGUCAACACUUCAUCGAUACAUUAGCAUUGGAUUUGAGAUUGGAUUUGAGAUUAAACUUCUGCACUUCACAAUUUUUAGUGUCCACAUCCACUUUCUGAAUAUUCAAGUCACAACCAUCGAUCACUAUUUCACAACUGAGUAAGUCCAAAAGCAGAAGGCAUGUCACCAGAACCAAACUCACUUUAUAUCUAUAAAAGAAAAGGCUGAAUUUCAAUGUUGAAAUAUUUGUUAAUUAUAUGAGAAACACUACAAUCAUAUUGCCAAAGUAUCGUAUAAAAGAUGCUUUAAAUUAGUAAUUAAAAUUAAGAUAUUUCUAAUCCCAGGUAUUUAUAUUAUUUAGUUGAACUCAUGCAUUAAAUGAACUAACUAGCAGUGUAUGAAUGAAAUAAUUUAUAAAAUAUCUCAAGUUGUGUUUUAUCUUACUGAGGGCUAAAUGUGAUUUUCUUUCUAAUGGUAGGAAUUGAACACAAGUAGCAGAAGGUUUUCAAUAACUCACACUACUGAACCAAUUGAGUAUAAAGUUGUUUUUCUAAUGGGCAGUAGUGUUACAUUUAUUUGCUUCUCUUUUUUCAAGAUAUUGAAUCUUAGUACUCUUGAAUACAAACAGAAAACUAUGAGAUCAGUCUCAGCAGGAAAAAGUUGAAAAUAUGAAUUUGAGUCUCAAGAUCAGAAUAUUAAGGAAACUAAAAUUGGACCAUUACAAGGUUGUGUGGCCUUACACAUUAGACACUGUUUUAGAAAUAUUACUGAAAUUUUCUCAGUUUAGGUUCAUUAUGCAUAGCAGUUUGGUUGUCACCAAACAACUCAUAUUCUAAACAAUAUUCAAGCUAUUUCUACUACUAUUUUUUCUGUAAAAGUGAGUCUUGAUUGAACACCAUAAGACUUCUUUAAUGGUUUUAAUGUUUAAAAAUCUUGAUGGAAUAUCACAAGAGCUUUUUAAUAAAGUAAAAAGUGGUUUAAAAAUACUUUUAAAUUCCAAUUACAAGUUCCUUAGAUCCCUUAUGUCCACUGCAGUUUCCAUUCAUCUUUCCUCCACUAAAAACCCAUAACUUCAUUUUGAGGAUCAUUUAGUUCCAGUGAUCUAUUAUUAAGUUUAAGUUCAUUUUUUUGUCAGAAACUGUAGUAACAUGAAAUAAGAACACAGAAUACUCUGUUCGGAAUGGAUGCCAAAUGCCAAACCACCUUCACGAUUUUCGUAGUAUUCUAAAAUUAGGAAAAACAUUCGGUUGGAAUUUAAUUUCAACAGAAAAAUUGAAAUAAAAAAUAAGAGUAAAAUAAAAGUAAUUGAUUCAUGAAAAACGUAGUUGAGUUCAAGUAUAUCAUGUGCUGCUCUUGUUUGAAAAAUGGCAAUUAUAGGGUUACCGUUUGCAACUAAGAAAAUGGUAAUCGAAAAGGUACAAAGAUAUUGUGGAGAAUUCGAACCGGUUGAAGUGCCAGACAAAUUCAAAUAUAAUCAUCGCACAUACAGAUCUUGGAUGUGAGCAAUCUUUUCCCAGUCUUCUCCAUCUGGACUCUGACAACGCUCCUUCAGCAAUGGACAACCAAUGAUUGAGAGAGAAGAGAUGGAUUUGGGGAGACCCUCCGCUGGUAAGCAUUCAAGGCUGGGACAAUCACGAAUUAUGAGAGAGGAGAGGUGGUAGAGACCCUUGUAGUGCAUCUUUUUAAGAUUUCGGCAAUAUUGGAUUCGUAGAAAGGUGAGAGAGCGUGGCAGCAAAACUUCAUCGGGAAAACACUCCACCUCCAAGUGUUCAAUAUUCAAGGUUUGAAGAGAUGUGUUGGGAUCCAAGUUGUCUCUCAAGGAGGCGAUAAGUUUUAAACAUGAAAGACACAUUCUUUUUAUAUUUAAUGGCAAACCUCCAUCUGGGAACAACUCCACUUGUGGACAAUAUUCAAUACAUAGAGACAUGAGAUGAUUAUGAGCGUACUCCUGUGAAAUUCUUCUUAGGUUUUGGCACUUUAUCAGUGUAAGUUCAUGGAGCUUUGGAAAGAAAUCUAGCCGAAAGAUUGAAAGAGAGUCCAUACUGUUUCCGCUAAUUCUGAGCUCAUCACUAACAACUACUUUCGUACCUUUCAGUUUCGGACAUUUAAACACAAGAAGCUGUCGAAGACGUGGAAAAGAAGUAGUUUUACACUCCCAUUCUUCCCAUUCCUUCAUAUUGAGGAACUGCAACAUCUCCAAGGAUGCAAACGAAGAGUUACUCCCAUAAAAUUCAUCACCAACGCUCACUAUUCCAUCAAACCCUGUAAUAUGGAGGGUCUUCAGUGAUGACAAAAGUCCAAGGGGAGGCAAACAUAGGCAAUAUUUACAAUCCUCCAACUUUAAGAACACCAGAUUUGAUAACGAAUUAUCGAAUACCCAACUUGGGAAUUCUGUACCACUGUAGUUCCAGAUUGACAAAUUCUCCAAGUGAUUGGAAGGUUGUAGAUUCUGAAGUACUUCCGUUUCUUUCCUUGGAUCAUCAGGGAUGUGGUUCGACUUCCAAUCUAAUUCUAGCUCCACAAGGUGUUUAUCUUUCACAUUUGCUUCUAAUGCGUCCAAAGGAUUCAAAAUAUUCUGCACGUCAUUGAUUGAUAGCCUUCCAUGAAGAUUGAGUCCUCCCAACCCGCCCAGUUGUUUAGUACUAACCUCACUAUUUCUAUCGACGAUAAACUUAUCCAAUUCUUGAAGAUUCUUCAAUUCUCCAAAAUGCAUUGGCAUCUUUCUCACUUUUGUACCUUCAAAUUCCAGGCAACGCAAUCUGGUAAGUUUAUGCAAAUUUAAGGGAAACUCCUCCAACUUUGAACAAAAUUUCAACUUCAGUAUUAGUAAGUUAUAGAGCAAACAUAUCGAGUCAGGUAGCUUUUGUAUCCCAGUACGCGAAAGAUCUAACGAAUGGAGAUGUUUAAGAUCAUCUACAGAAUCUGGAACCUCUCUAAGGUCUGAACAACCACUGAAAGAUAACACGCGUAUAAACUUAAUCUUGGAAAACAAAUCAUGUAUGGAAAUUUUGAAAUGCCAUUGAGGUUUCCCAAAUUGUUGGAUAGGCAGAAAUGAACGAAGUCUUUUAGCAUCAGCUAAACUCCCUAAACCAUCAAAACUUUUGACAUCAUGGAAUUCAAAUGAAAAAUGACGGGUUGUUUUCGGUAUACAUCGGCCUUUAUCAAAUUUCAACCUUAAACAGAAAUCCCCACAAACAUAUUUUGCCAAAUCAUUCAGAAGGUCAUGCAUGACGAAACACAACCCGGAAUCUGAAUGUUGAAAAAAAGACCUUGACAGAAGAUCAUUGAAGUACUCUUCACCAACUUCUUCUAGAUGUCUCAUCUGUUGCGGACUCUGUAGAAAAUUUUGGGCCAUCCACAUCAAAAUUAACUCCUUCUUCACAAACUCAUAAUCUUUGGGGAAUAAGGCACAAUAAGCAAAGCACCUUUUAAGAUGAGAAGGGAGAUAACGAUAGCUAAAAAAUAACGCAGGAAUAAUUUCACUGUGUUCUUUUGGUAACUCCCAUAUGUCACUUUCCAAUAUGUUCUUCCAAUCUGAAAUGGAUGACUUUGUGCGUAAAAGACAUCCAAUUGUUUUCAGAGCUAGAGGUAAACCCUUGCACUUCUCAAGUAUCCUUCUACCAACCUUCAUUAACUCAUCAUUCAAAUCAAGAUCACCAUCUUCUAAUGCAUGAUUUUCAAAAACUUUCCAGCAUUCAUCCUCUCCUAAUUGCUUUAGAAGAUGCACUUCAGACCUCAUGCUAGAAGCAACUUUCUCACCACGAGUUGUGACAAGAAUUCUACUUCUUGGAGCCCCAUAGCUAAGAGGAGUUCGCACGGCUUCCCAUUCUGCUGGUCUUUCGUUCCAAACAUCAUCCAAAACAAGAAGAAAUUUCUUUCCUGACAAUUUUUCUUUCAGUUUUUUGUGAACCAUUUCUAGGUUCCCACUGUCAUCUUUUUGAUUUGUGAUUGCCUCAAGAAUUGUUCUUGUCACGGUCAAAACAUGAAAAUGAUCAGAAACACAGACCCAUGCUUUGAUAUCAAAUUUUGCAUCUUCCAUCUUUGGGUCAUUGUACACAUGUUGGGCGAGUGUGGUCUUACCCAACCCACCCAUUCCCACAAUAGAAAGUAUUGAUGACUGGUUAGAUUGUCGGUUUCAGAUGUGAGCCAAUUAAUGAUUAUAUCUUUGUCAGCAUCUCUACCGUAAAUAACACUUUCAACCACCAAAGAAGAUGAUGGCAAUUUCUGUGACACUCUACUGCCUGAUCUAUCAUUAUCAUCAGAAUAAGUACCCUUUUUCAAACCAAGAGCAUCCUUUUGGUUUGCAAGAUAUUCUAGUCUCCGCAGGACUUCUUUCAUCUCUGAUUCAAUUUUCUUGUUAAAUGAAGUAGAGUUGAAGAAAUUUGAUACCUUGGAAGUAAAGGUUUGAGGUUGGGAUUGAGCUUGGACUUGGCAUCUGGUGAGUUCAUAGUCUAUUUCACCCAACAGAUCCUCUGCAUCAAAGACAGCCUCUUUGACAGCAACAAGCCAUGCUUUGACGUGUGGAUCUGUGAGCUGCUUUAGUUCAGCAUCAUCAGCGAGGGCAUUGAUGGAGUGCAGCAUGAUUUUCAAAUUGCGGAGGAGCUUCUCAUCAAGUUUUCUUCCACGAAAGAAGUCUACAAUUUGAGGAGAAGCGAGCCUAUCGAAUGCAACCUGAAGAAAGGCGUUGGAAAUGAAGUGAAAUGGAUUGAGUGGAGGAAUGAAUGGUUCAAUUAGUGGAAAGAAGAUACCCUUAAAUAGCGAUCACUUAAAUAAUUAUUUAACAGUUUUUUUAUGUAUUUCAAGUUAAAUAGAAAAACAUUCUUAUCAUUUGGAAAUUCUUCCGUGAUAUGUCUCAGCUUCUUUGUGAAAUACUGAGGCAAUAAAUAUUAAGAGCAAUUUGGUUAUCACAAGCAAGGGUCUUCUUUCAUUAAUAUCUACUGUGCUGAAUUUCAAACAAUCACCUCUGAACUGAUAUUCUCUGUUUUCUUAAUUGCCAGAUUUUUUAAAUAUUUAUAAUUUCACUUUUAUAUUGUUUACAAAAUUUNNNNNNNNNNNNNNNNNNNNNNNNNNNNNNNNNNNNNNNNNNNNNNNNNNNNNNNNNNNNNNNNNNNNNNNNNNNNNNNNNNNNNNNNNNNNNNNNNNNNACUUUUGUAGCUUGUAUCUUUACUUUUCAUCUAAUCUUUAAUUAAUUUAUAUAAAUGUAUUUAUCAUAUUGACUUAAAUAUUUUAGUUCCAGAAGCGAGGUCAUUUGUCUAUUAAUUAGGUAGCAAUACAAUUUUUUAAACAAUGUAAACAGACUUUUAACAGAAAUCAAUGUUUAGUUGUAGAUCAAUCAUAACAAAAGACUCAUUCCUUCUAAGAGUUAUUGGAAAUUUGAGGAUCCAUGGUGGAAGAGAAUAGCGCCACAAAGUAUCAUCUCACAGUUCAACAAUGAGUUGAAAUUGUGAAUUGCAUGAGUUGAUUUCUCUAAUCUAAGAGUCCAAGAGGUGACAGUUUGAAUAUACAAGAUUUCUAGAAAGGUGUUGGCUCCCAAGAAUACCUUUUUAUCUCCUUCUAUACAGGACCAAACAUAACUUCACACUUUUGUUAGUUGCUGUUCUGAGUCUUUACACUUGUAUGCACAAUUUUUCUGUUGCAGGAGAAUCUUCAGAUUGUGGACUAAGGAGAGGUAAUAAAACAGCAAAACAUACUUAAUUAUCACUUUAUUAGAUUUCAAAUAAAACAGGAGAGACAUGAUUUUUUUUCCAAAGAAUCAGAAUUGAUUGAGAAUGGAUACUUAAUGAGAUGCAAUCUAUUCAAUUUUGUUGAAGAUUGAAGAGUGAUUUCUUAAAUACCUGUUUUACUGUCUCGACCGAAAGGUCAACUGAAAGUCUCGACCGACCGAAAGGUUGUACGGCCGAAAGGUCAACCAAAAGUCUCGACGCCGAAAGGUCAACUGAAAGUCUCGACCGACCGAACGGUUGUGCGACCGAAAGGUCAACCGAAAGUCUCGACCGACCGAAAGGUUGUGCGUAAAAUUAAAUUAGUGAUUAUAGCAAAGCCCAUAAGAUGGGCCCAAAUAUACAGGUGUGUGUUUUCAAAAUGUUAGGUGCAAAAAGAAAAGACCUAAGUAACUCUUAAGCCCAAUAAGAGAGUCUUAUAAAUAGAGGUUCAACUCAAAAGGUAAGGAGAAUUUCAAUUGAUCUGAUAAGCAAAAAACUAUAUCUGACUUUGGCAUCGGAGCGCCUUGCAGGUACACACNNNNNNNNNNNNNNNNNNNNNNNNNNNNNNNNNNNNNNNNNNNNNNNNNNNNNNNNNNNNNNNNNNNNNNNNNNNNNNNNNNNNNNNNNNNNNNNNNNNNNNNNNNNNNNNNNNNNNNNNNNNNNNNNNNNNNNNNNNNNNNNNNNNNNNNNNNNNNNNNNNNNNNNNNNNNNNNNNNNNNNNNNNNNNNNNNNNNNNNNNNNNNNNNNNNNNNNNNNNNNNNNNNNNNNNNNNNNNCCCAAUGUGAGAAGAGACCGAGAGAGUCCAGCCCAAAGUUCGGAAGAUUUGUAUAAGAGUUAAUCUUGUCAACCUAAUUUUAGUGUUCUUGGUCCUUGUUGUAAGAACAUUUUGGCGCCCACCGUGAGGCCGAGAAGUAGCUGAAAAAGGUUGAAGACAAGAUGAAUCAAAUGAGAAGAACAAGGUGGAGAGCAAUCUGGGGAGCAGAGAGAUAAUCAAAAUUCCAUAUCAAUGGCUAUGCUCAUGCAGUUACAAAGAAAGUUCGAAACACUAAAGAGAAGCAAUGAAGAAAAGUUAAGUAUGUUAAGGGCGGAGAAUGCGUACAUAAAAGGAGUUAGAAUGAAGAGACGNNNNNNNNNNNNNNNNNNNNNNNNNNNNNNNNNNNNNNNNNNNNNNNNNNNNNNNNNNNNNNNNNNNNNNNNNNNNNNNNNNNNNNNNNNNNNNNNNNNNNNNNNNNNNNNNNNNNNNNNNNNNNNNNNNNNNNNNNNNNNNNNNNNNNNNNNNNNNNNNNNNNNNNNNNNNNNNNNNNNNNNNNNNNNNNNNNNNNNNNNNNNNNNNNNNNNNNNNNNNNNNNNNNNNNNNNNNNNNNNNNNNNNNNNNNNNNNNNNNNNNNNNNNNNNNNNNNNNNNNNNNNNNNNNNNNNNNNNNNNNNNNNNAACAACUUUGAAGGGAGGGGCUGAGUUGGCAUACUCGGUUGCCACCGUUAUCCAUUGAUUGUUUCAACACUUUAGUAAAAAAGUUUGUAGCUCAUUUUGCUACAAGCCGACCACAUCAUCUGACAUCAAUUGCCUUAGUGAAUAUAAGGUAAGAAAAGGGAGAAUCCCUAAGAACAUUUAUGCAGUGCUUUGGAAAGGUAGCACUAAGUAUCCGCAAUCUCAGUCCGAAAGUCACAAUGCAUCAUAUGAUUACAGCACUGAAACCGAGACCAUGUGCCGACAGUCUUUGCAAAAAACCGGCAACCAAUCUUGACGAGUUAUCAUCGCAAGUGCCGGCCGAACGCUCACCAAACUUGCUUGAUUAACAUCGCAAGUAUUGGCCGAACGAUUGCCCGCUUGCUCGAUUAACAUCGCAGGUGCCGGCCGAACGCUCACAAACUUGCUUGAGUAACAUCGCAAGUAUUGGCCGAAUGAUUGCCCGCUUGCUCGAUUAACAUCGCAAGUGCCGGCCGAACGAUCACCAAACUUGCUUGAGUAACAUCGCAAGUGUUGGCCGAACGAUUGCCCGCUUGCUCGAUUAACAUCGCAAGUGCCGGCCGAACGCUCACCAAACUUGCUCGAUUAUCAUCGCAAGUACCGGCCGCUCACUACUCUUUGAUAGAGAUGGAAUUGAAAGAUACCACAAGAAUCAUNNNNNNNNNNNNNNNNNNNNNNNNNNNNNNNNNNNNNNNNNNNNNNNNNNNNNNNNNNNNNNNNNNNNNNNNNNNNNNNNNNNNNNNNNNNNNNNNNNNNGCUACAUAUGGAAUGCAUCCGUUUGGUAAUAUGAGUACAAAUCACAGUUCAUGGCCUGUUAUAUUGGUUAUUUACAACUACCUUCCUGGAUUGUGCAUGAAGCGAAAAUACAUGAUGUUGUCUAUGAUGAUAUCCGGUCCGAAACAGCCAGGAAAUGACAUAGAUGUUUAUCUUAGUCCCCUAAUCAAAGAUUUGAAGUUAAUGUGGGAUCAGAGUGUUGAAGUAUUUGACGGAUUUGCUAAUGAAACUUUCAGGCUGCAUGCCAUGUUAUUUUACACCAUCAAUGAUUUUCCGGCAUAUGGUAACUUAUCAGGUUAUAGUGUUAAGGGUCAUAAAGCAUGUCCAAUAUGCGAAGAAUACACUGCUUCUCAACAAUUGAAACAUGGAAGGAAGACAGUAUAUCUUCGACAUCGGAGAUUUCUUAGAAGUCAUCAUCCUUACCGGAGGUUGAAAAAAGCCUUUAAUGGUCACCAAGAGACUAGUGGUCCACCAACUCCACUAACUGGUCUUGAGGUUUACGAAAUGGUAAAUAACAUAGACCACACCUCCGGUAAGUAAAAAAAAAGUCAUCUGUGACAAACAUUUGGAAGAAAAAAUCAAUCUUUUUUUAUCUUCCGUACUGGUCGAGGUUAGAGGUCAAACAAUGUAUAGAUGUAAUGCAUGUUGAGAAGAAUGUGUGUGAUAGUUCAAUUGGUACACUUCUUAACAUUAACGGGAGGACGAAGGAUGGUUUAAAUGCUCGUUUAGAUUUGAUUGAGAUGAACAUACGAAGCGAGUUGGCACCGAUACAAAUGGGUAAGCGUACAUAUUUGCCCCCAGCCUGUUACACCAUGUCAAAAGAUGAAAAAGUAAGUUUCUGUCAAUGUCUAAAGGGUGUAAAAGUGCCACAAGGACAUUCAUCAAAUGUGAAGAGCCUAGUGUCAAUGCAAGAUUUGAAGUUAAUUGGGUUGAAGUCUCAUGAUUGCCACAUCUUGAUGCAACAACUUCUGCCUGUAGCUAUUCGUGGGAUCUUACCAAAAAAUGUUAGACAUACCAUAACCCGUUUGUACUCAUUCUUCUCUUCCAUCUGUUGUAAAGUCAUUGAUCUAUUAAAACUGAAUGAACUUCAAGAUGAAAUUAUUGUUAUCUUAUGUGAAUUGGAGAUGUUUUUUCCUCCAUCUUUUUUUGAUAUCAUGGUUCAUCUAGUUGUGCAUCUGGUUAGAGAGGUUAGAUGGUGUGGACCAGUAUACUUAAGAUGGAUGUAUCCUGUUUAGCGGUAUAUGAAAAUUUUGAAAGGUUAUCUGAAAAAUCAUUAUCGUCCAGAAGCUUCAAUGAUUGAAAGGUACAUAGCUGAAGAAAGUAUUGAAUUUUGUUCAGAGUACAUGUCAAAAGCAAAUCCAAUAGGUCUUCCUGCUAAUUCAUGGCACCAUAGGCGUUCUACAAGUAAAUGUUUACGUGGUGUGAAUAUUGUAAGAAAAUCUCGGUCAGAAGUAUUGCAAGCACAUUUGUAUAUAUUGAAUAACACAAAUGAAGUUAUACCUUACAUAGAAGCUCAUAAAGCCAUUGUGAAGGCAAAUAAUCCAAGACAAGCAGAGAAAUGGGUCUUGAUGGAACAUAAUAGAACAUUCAUGCCUUGGUUUAAAGAGGAGGUGUUAAAGGAUUCAACUGCAUCGGAGACCUUGACCUGGUUGGCUGCUGGAUUGAAGUUUGAUGUCGUUUCUUGUAAAGCAUACGAAGUGAAUAAUUGUAUAUUUUACAUGAAGUCUUUGGAUGAAAAGAGUACAGUUCAAAAUUCUGGUGUUACUCUUGAAGCCGAGUCAAUGCAGUUUUCCACUUCAAAAGAUUCAAAUCCUAUACUUGGAUCAAUGGCAUACUAUGGAUUUAUAGAAGAGAUAUGGGAGGUUGACUACACUAAGUUUUCGGUUCCAGUUUUCAAGUGUAAAUGGGUUGACAAUAAAAGUGGGGUUAAAAUUGAUGAAUCAAGAUUCACAUUAGUGGACUUUCAAAAGAUAGGGUAUCGAGAUGAGCCAUUUAUAAUGGUUCAACAAGCAUCUCAAGUUUUCUAUGUCAAAGAUCCUACGUCAGAACAUUGGUAUGUCGUUUUACACGAGAAAAAACAAGGGGAGGCCAUAGAUGAUAUUGAAAAUGGUGACCCCCGUUCAUUCACACCAAUGAUAAUUAAUAAAGAUGAUGAUGUACUUGAUGAUGUACAUGCAACCCGUAAAGACCACAGUGAAGGAAUUUACAUAUGAACAUUCAACCCAUUAUGGUAAUAAAUUUAUAAAUAUUUUUGAUAAUAUGUAUUUAGAAUAUUAUGUUUUUGUUUUAUAUGAUUUUCUUUCGAUGCAGGUUAACUAACGUUUGUUAACUAUGUUUUUUAACAGAGAUAUGGAUGAGAAUCAGAGUCCAAAGAAACCCCAAUCCAAACGAGGCAGCGGAGGACCUACUAGAAUGAAACGUCUGGCAAAGAGACGUGCUGCUGGUAAGAAGACAGCUGUUGACAUUGACGUCAACACUGGAAUGGAUUCUGGUCCUAAUGCAGAAGACUUUCAUAGCUAUCUUGGAGUUCUUUCUCGUGAGAGGAUCUCCAUUUUGACUAAUUCAUGGAACGAGGUGUCAGAGGUCGAUCGAAGCAUGCUCUGGGAGGAUGUUCUGGUCAGCUUUACAUUAUUAUUGUUAUCAUAUAAUUCUUUUUAAUAUUCAUUUAUUAAUUUUAAUCUGGUGAUGUUAUUUUGCAGGCAAAUUUUGAAAUUCCUGAUGUGGAACCGCUUCGAUCAAAGAUUAUAUCGAAUAUCAGGCUUAAGUUUCACGCCUUUUAGUCAAGACUAACGACGAGAUAUGUCUUUGGUGACCUUAAAGAUGAAAGCCCUUGUCAAUCUUACAAUUUCAUUGAAGAAGAGACAUGGCAUAUUUUUAAACAAAGUCGUCUAAGUGAGGAAUAGAUGGUAAGUUAAGGUACUUAACUAUUUUUAUUUAUAUAACAUCAAUAAGUUAAUAUUAAUUCACUUCAUUUAUUUCAAUUAUGACAGCGUCGACGGAAGAAAGCUCAAGAGAUAGCUUUAAAGAAUGUUACCUCGCACGAGACAGUACGUGCGGGGUAUCGAAGGCUUGAGAAAGCACUGAUGGAGGAAAAAGAGCAAUCUAGACAGGGGAGUGCAUCUGAGGAUGUGGAAACAGGGGUCACUUCUCCUCCAUCACCACCUAAGCGCCAUGUCAAAUGGAAGAGGGUCCGAAUUAAGAAGUCGGGUGCACCAAAUUCUAAGCAAUCAGGGGUUGUCAUAGAAAAAAUUAUAAGUUAUUUAAGCCUUUUUUUCAUUUACUAUGCUGCAUUACUCAUAGUAAAAGCUGAUAUGAUUUUGGUCUCUUGUAGGAUACUUUGGACUCCCAGGGCAAUUUUACUCCAGAAGGUCGUCACGAUAUCCUUGUUGAAGCACUUGGACGACCUGAGCACCCUGGUCGUGUUCGUGCAGCUGGACAAGGAGUUGGAAUUAAAGAAUAUUUUGGAGCUGCACGUUCACACUUAUCCUCCUCCCCCAAAGAGAGCAAAGAAGAAUUGAAGAAUAGGCUACGUAAAGAAUUAAUGGAGGAGAUGAGAAAGGAGACUGAAAGGAUGAAGGCAGCGUUGCGACAGGAGUUAUCGCAUCAACUUUGUGCUGAACCGCUAAUUCAGACACUUGUCAGUCCCGCUCCGAAGAGCACAAAGGGGAGUUGUGCAACUCCUACAACAUCAGGGAAUGAUAUGAUGGGUCAGACGAGGCAAUGUGAGCUACUGGUAGAUGGUGGCAUGAUACCUCAGGUGGUGGCCAUUGGAAAAGUCUAUGAAGAGGCCACCACCUUACACAAUGUUCCUCUCCCCUCGGAUGUGGCAAAGGUAACAGUUGAAAGAGUACGAGUACCUGAUGCUCAUGUUCCACUACCUUUAGAAAAGGUAACAACUGUGGCUGAUGCAUUUUAGUCAUUCGUAGCCUGGCCCAGACACCUCAUUCGAAUUAUGCCAGAACCAUCGGUAAUAAUUUCACUCCAUAUGGUAAUUUAUAUUUAUAUAUUACAUCUAAUUUAUAACCAAUGUUCUUUCAUUUGUAGAAACCUCGUCGAAAACCAAGUCCAAAAAAGAAGCAUGAGGUUCCGGUUGACGAUCCUAUAGCUUCCUUAGUUAUAGUUGAUAGAGAAAUUGGACGAGACCCUCUAGAAGUUCCAUGGGAUGAUACGUUUUUUGAAACAAACCCUGAGCUGCCAUUGUACAUAUACAUGUCAGAUCUAUUAGAAUUUGUAGCUGGGGAACAGGAGUUGAAUAUAAAUAUCAUUCAAUUUUUUAUGAUGUAAGUAUCUUUACCUAUAUUUCAUUUUCAUUUAUGCUAAAUUAGCAUUCAUUAUGCUUUAACUAACUACUUGUAGGUUUUUGAAUGGUGUCUCUGUCACUGAGGGGAAGGAAAAUGUGUAUGGAUUCUUAGAUCCUGCAUAUACUAAUCACACUGGAGCAAAGGCAAAUGAGACCCAAUCAUACAUCACAAACACCUUGGAAAAAGAGGGAAAAGAGGUUUAUUUAUGCCCUUAUAUUAACGAGUAAGUUUAAAUAUAUAUGUUAAAAGUUUAUUAUAUUCAUGUUUUACAAAUUUACUCAACUCUUUUCAUGGAUGAUAUAGGGGUGAUUGGCAGUUACUUGUCUUAUCAGUGAAGGAUAGGACGGCUUUGUGGUUUUGUUCCCUACACAAGAAGGUAUCCACAAGUUUUGAGAAUAUCAUUGAUAGGUAAGUACACUAUCAACUUAAAUUUGUUUGACACUAUAAUUAAUCUACUAACAAAGUUUUUUGUAUCAAUUACCAGUUCAUGGCGUGGAUAUAACAUCCUAAAAGGUCGAGCGAAUUCAAAUUUUCAAAAGUUGAACUGGAUGAGACUAAAGGUUUGUAAUUGUUUUCUUUCUCUUUCCAUUGUUUAUCAAUACUUACUUUUACAAUUCAUUGAAUUAUAGUGUAAUAAACAACCAAAAAGCUAUGAGUGUGGCUAUUACGUUAUACAAUGGAUGGGUACCAUUGUUAGAGUAGGCCAUACAAGUAAUUGGCAGGAGGUAACAUUUGAUAAAUUAUUUCUAUAACUUGAACAUAUCUAUGCAUGUAUCUUAAAACUAACUUAAGUGUUAAACCAUUUUGAAAUGCAGUUCUUUGCAGAUGAGGAACCCAUGUCUUUGGAAGCCAUAACAUAUGUCAGACAGUCUUGGUCCACAUAUUUUCUAAACUUUUAUAACUCUAGGAUAUAUAUAGUUGAUCAAUACUGUAGGAUGAUAAAUAAAGUUGUAUUUGUGAUUUUGUACAUUUUUCAUCAAUACAUAUAAUUCAAAUUUGGCUUUGAGUUAUUCUGAAUGUGUUUAUAUCUCUCUUCUGUCUGGCUGAGUAUAUUUAAAUUGCACAAUAAUGAAUAAAACAAAAUGUUCCUAAAAAAAAAAAAACCUAUUUACAAGUGCGGUUAUUUACCAAGACCGCACUUGUAAAUCAUGCGGGGGUGAUUUACAAGUGCGGUCUUGGUCAUAACCGCACUUGUAAAUCACAUUUACAAGUGCGGUUAUAAAUGAACCGCACUUGUAAUUGUGAUUUGCAAGUGUGGUUAUGACCAAGACCGCACUUGUAAAUCAUUGAAUGCUGAAUGCACCUUUAAAAGAAAGCACUAUUCUGUGAAAUAUACAAGUGUGGUUCCAGAUAAUAACCGCAUUUGUAAAUCGAAUUAUAAAGGCGAUUGUAUAACUGCACUUGUAAAUCAUGAUUUACAUGUGCGUGCUGAUCAAGUGUGGUUGUACAUCCACACUCAUAAAUUCAAAAUAACUGCAUUUAUUUUGUGUUUCCGCACCAGUGUUAAUAUCAUGAACUUCACUGACACACACAGGUAUAUUGUAAAAUAUCUAUUGCUUCUUCCAUUAACAAAUACAAGGACCAUUUUUAGGUACAACAAAUACUCAAGCUUUACACAGCUAAUCUACAUCAGGUGACUGCUACACAAAUUCUACUCUCCUAAUUUUAUAAACAAAUGGUAAUCCAAGGAGGAAAAGAAAAAAAAAUUAAAAGCUAUUUGCAAUGCUCACUACUUCAAUGCCACCUCCCAACUCAACAAGAAAUCAAAUACAAUUCCAAGGUCUAAGAAUGUAUGUUUAGAAGCAUUUACAUUUCACAACUCCCUUUCUUCAAUCUUUCUGUGAGGUGUAUUAGUUUUCCCUGGACCUGUUUAGGUAACUCAUCAUCUGAUAACCCAAUUUCAAUCCCUUCACACUCCUCUUCUUAUAUUUUGUAAGUGUUUGUUGUUGCUAUUCAGAGUCCUUAAACUUUUAGUGCAGAGCAAGAGUUUUUCUGUUGCAAGAGAAUCUAUAGACUCUAGAGGAGAGGUAAUAAAAUAGUAAGAUAUAAUUUAGUUUUAUUUUUGAAUGGGAAGAGAGAUUAGAAGGAUGUGAAAUAAAACAGUAGAGAAACAAUUUUUUAUUGGAAUAAUCAGAAUUGUUUGAGAAUGGAUACUUAAUGAGGUUUUAAAACAACACUACAAUAAUCAUGACCAGAGACCAUCCAUCUAUUGGAAAGACCUGAAGGAAAUAAGUUUUAAACAGUUAGAUGUUUGAAUGUGUGUUGUAAAAUGUGGAUCCAAUCAAUGACCCUUCAGUCUUUUAUCUUUACUUUCAUCCAGUUUUGUUUCUGCAAGAGGGUUAAUGGCAUAAUGAGUGCUCAGGGAAAAGUCCAUUUCUAUGUUGGAAUAUUUGUUAAUUAUUUGAGAAAUCAUAUUGCCAAAGUGGUUUAAAAAUACUUUUAAAUUCCAAUUACAAGUUUCUCAGAUACAGAAUGUCUCUUAUGGCCAUAACUUCCAACUACAGAAUACUCUAUUGGGAAUAGAUGCCAAAUGCAAGACCACCUUCACGAUUUUGGUAGUAUUCUAAAAAUAGGAAACAAAUUUGGUUGGAAUUUAAUUUCAUCAGAACAAUGAAAUAAUUUUGCACGAAAAUAAGAAUAAAAUAAAAGUAAUUUAUUCAUGAAAAAUUUAGUUGAGCCUUCUUUAAUAAAUAUCAUCACAUCAGUUUAAAUAUAACAUGUGCUACUAUCACUACAAAAAAAAAAAUAAUUUUGUGGGGUUAUUUUUUACAUUUCCGGUGGUUUUAACCUGCAUUACUCGCAGUUUGCUAUGUUCCUAGAAAAUCCAUCGUCACUAACGGAUUAUUGACGAUUUUUACGAAUUUUGGAAAAUAAUUACUUUUCGGCGAUUUUGAAACCCCGUUAUUUCUCGACGGUUUAGAAACUCCAUAAUUUUUGAAACCCUUGUAAUUCCCGACGGUUUCGAAACCCCCGUAAUUCCCAGUGUUUUCAAAACUCCUGUUAUUUCUAGCAGUUUCCGACGAUUUUGAAACCUCCGUUACUUUUAGGAGGUGCACAUAUAAAAAAGUAGGUGACGAAUAAUAGAAAUGUUGAAGCAAAAUAGUCUAACGGUCUUCUGAGAUCUUGUGUUCCUCUCCUACUACCUAACACUAAUACACUACCAUUUUUCAACUUUUUUUUUAUUUACUUUCCAAUGUUUCAUAAUACUAUAUUGGUAUAAUUUUUUCAUAAUGAAAAUAUAGACAUUGAAUUAUUAAUGUAAAAAAUGUGUGUAGUAUGUGAUUAACAUUAUUAAUGCCGAAUAAUUAUAUUAAUGUAAAAAAUACAUAUCACUUACUAAUUCAUUUAUCUUAUUCAUUAAGAUCCAUCUAAUAACCAGAAGGUGUUAGAAUAAUAAACAUAAAGGUUUAGAUUCGAUUCUUAUUAUAAAAUAGUUAAUUGUUUUGGAACAAAAUCCUAAUGACAAUUUGACGUCACUUUCAUUUUUUUGGUGAGGGAAACGGGUCAUUUUUAGUAGUGCCCUUGAUAAAACAUCAUAAUAUCAUGAAAUCUUCCAAGUUCAACAGAGAGGAAACAUGAAACUAUUGUUGAAUGGCUUCGAACUGCCACAGAAUGGCUUCGAACUGCUUUUUAAUUGCUGUGCUGACUAGAACAAAUUUUACCAAAUUAGCUGAUGUGAUAUGAUUCACCCACAAUAGCUGCCACAGAACCUGCAGAAAUAACAAACUUCAAAAACUAGUAGCUACUUCAAAGCAGGUUACAGUUGUAAGGGGCAUUGCACUAAAACUUUAAGGAUGUUUUUGACACACCAAUUUUCCAAAAUGUAACUUAGUUCCAUUCUUUGAACUCUUAUGUACAUACACAUUGGUAGACACCCUUUGAAAAAAUUUGACACACCUUGUUUUGUUUCACUAAAACAACAGGCAUUCCAUUCCAUAACAUUACCUGCCUUAUAGCAUAAUGAUAAGACUUCUAAUAUCCUUCAGUGAUAGUGGUUUCUCCUGCUCGUAAUAUUCCUCAUUAUCAACUAUCAUGAGCAUAUGCCUGAUUAAAGAAGAACAGCUUAUGAUUAAAAGAAAUACUAAAACAGCGUAGAAACUGCAAUUCAUGCAUCAACACAAGCAUUUUAUUAAACAAGCCAAUAGUAUAAAAGAUUGUAAGCAGGACAGAAUACAGAAAGAGACAACAGCCAACCUGGUGCAUCGCCAGAGAGGUAUGAUAACCGUUCAGACAAGGAUGACCAUUUUUUGUUUUCAUGGCACCAUUUCAUAAAAUUCCAAAGUUUAGAAACAAGUUCAGUUCUGUAGGCAAGUACAGAAAUAAUCUUUUCAAGAAGCAAUGUGUUGAAGAUAACAUGUAAAAAUCCACAAACUGCAACCUCCCUGUCCUCUGGCACCCCAAAAAUGUUUUUUGACACUUGAUACAGAAAUCAUUUGCAAGAUGGUAUACCAGUUGGAGAAGGAAGCGAGUAUCUAUGGCAUUAGAGAUUUGUUGAAUCAAUUUCCUAUCCAAAACUACCUCCAUGACUUCAUCUUCGCCAGUCAUUUCAUCCUCAGCAAUUUUAGAGUCUGAAAUUAAAACUACACACAGCUUAAAAACAAAUGGUAAGAGAGAGAAUAAUCUCCCAUACACACACAAAAAAAUAAUAUUUAAUAAUUAUGAUUAAAUAUAGUAACCAAGCUUCAGAGUUAUGCUCAAAUCUAACAUAGAAAAAGUUGCACACUUAUUUUUGCGUAGUAAGUUGACUUCUCUAUGAUAGAUUACUUUGCUUGGGGUUCUAAACAAAGUGUAUCCUUCCACUCUUUUGCAGUUUCUAAUAAUACACUCGGUGUUUGAAGGUAAAACUAGGCUGUGAUGUUACAGAAGUAAUAUAUUGAGGAUUGUUUAUAUUGGGAAGGUGAUCCAUCCUUGAUUAAAGGGUUAGCUUAUUGCCUAGUAGUAUGCAUGUAGAUAUAGAUGUAAUUGUAACAAUACAUUCUUCCUUCUUUUAAAGAGAAGAAAUAUGAUAUUUGUCAAUAAAGUUUAACAAAGAAAAUAGUAUCUUUAAUAAGAAAAGCUUGAAGGUCUGAUCAGAAAUCAUACUCUCUCUACCAUCAGAUCUUGUCUUGUCGGAGAUGGAUAUGAUUCCAGCAAAAAUGUCGUAACAGAAGCAAGGUUUAUAGCAUGCUCAAUUAUCACUGCCUGACAUAGUAUUUGGUACAUCUUGGAUAAUAUUUAGUCUAUUUGUCUUUCUAUAUUCAUCACUUUUUUUCAAUUUUCUUACUUUGAUUGUUAGUUUUCAAAACUGAAAGUGGCAUAAUUAAUUGAAACAGUUGUGUGCAUUGCAGAAAAGUGCGCUCUAUUUUGUUCUUUGAAAAGAAAAUUUAGAAGCAAUAGACCCAUGAAGAGGUUGGUGGACAACAUUAAGUUUAACUAGAAAACCUUUUACAGUUAAAUUAUCAAACCAACAAAAGAAAUCAGUAGACAAGUCAUGAAUACAUAAUACAUUAGCAUAAGAGCUUUUUUACACCUACAUUUUUAGAUCAAAGGGUGGGAGAUCAAACAAAUCUCUGAUAAAUCAUAUUGCUUCAUGAGAUUCUAUAAUCACAUAGCCGAGAUCAGCUACAAUUUACUAUGCUCAGUUACUAAUGUAUUUGAUAUAUAUAUAUAUGCGUAUGUAUUCUAAUUGCUAUAGUUCAAGAAGCUCUACCAUGACAGGAAAGAUGUUGGAAAUCAGACUUAUCCAAUGUGAAAUUUAGCAGAACAACAAAAUAAUAAAAAUUACUAAUGUGAUUACUUUAACAAUUUUGUAAUCAACAAAUCCAUAGUGAUAUUUGCAAUGCUAUGACAUUAUUACUAAUUUUGUUCAAAAGCAAUAACAGAUAAUAACAGCAAAAAGGCAACUUCUAGAAAAAUGCUUGAUUUGGAAAAAAGAAUUAUAUUAUUGCCAAUUAACAAAUAAUCAAUUAAAAUCAUCUGGUCAUCUCCUCUAAAACAUAGAGUUUAUUUUGUUUAGUAAAUGCCGAUUACAGAGUGAAACAUUUGAAACUUCAGAAAAUUGUAAUUAAAAAGGAACAGAGAUACUGUGGAAAAUUAAUUAGCACCAGUAGAAGAGGCAGAGAAAUGGGAAUUGCUCCACAUCUAAUUUUGAACUUGUGCUUCAUCUUAUUACCUAACACUCAGUUUUUCAAUGUGAGCAAUCUUUCCCCAGCUUUGCCUUCUGGAUUCUGACAAUGUUGUUUGAGCAAUGAACAUUCUCAAAUUGUAAGAGAAGAGAUGGAACUUCAUCGGGAAAAGGCUCCACCUUCAAUGUCAACCUUUUCAAUACACAAGCUUGGCAAACAUGUGUUUACAUCCGCUGGUAAGCAUUGAAGGUUGGGACAUUCACGAAGGAGGAGAGUGGAGAGGUGGCAGAGACCCUUCAAGUGCAUCGUUUUAAGAUUUGGGCAAUCAUAGAUUUGUAGAGAGGUGAGAGAGCGUGGCAGCAAAACUUCAUCAGGAAAACACUCCACGUCCAAAUUUACAAUAGACAAGCAUUCAAGACAUGUGUUGGGAUCCAAGGUGUCUCUCAAGGAGGCAAUAACUUUGAAACAUGAAAAAAAAAUAUGUUUUAUAUUUAAUGGCAAACUUCCAUCAAUAUAUAGGUUUAUGAGAUGAUUAUUAGUGGACUCCUGUGAAAUUCUUCUUAUGUUUUGGCAAUUUGUCAGUGUAAAAGAACAGAGCUUUGGAAAGAAAUGUAGUGGAAAGAUUGUAAGAGAGUCGCUGCCUCCAUCAAUAUGCGAUGUGUCCAUACUGUUUCCGCUAAUUCUGAGCUCAUCACUAACAACUACUUUCUUUAAAUCAGUACCUUUCAGUUUGGGACAUUCAAUCACAUAAAGUUGUUGAAGACGUGGAAAAGAAGUAGUUUUACACUCCCAUUCUUCCCAUUCCUUCAUAUGAUGGAAUGUCAGACUCUCCAAGCAUGCAAAUGAAGAGUUGCUCCCAUAAAAUUCAGCACCAAUGCUCACUAUUCCAUCAAGCCCUAAAAUCUCAAGGGUCUUCAGUGAUGACAAAAGUCCAAGGGGAGGCAAACAUAGGCAAUAUUUACAGUCCUCCAACUUUAAGAACACCAGAUUUGAUAACAAAUUAUCGAAUACCCAACUUGGGAAUUCUAUACCACUGUAGUUACAUAUGAACAAACGCUUCAAGUGUGUGUUAGGUUGUAGAUUCUCAAGUACUUUCUUUUCUUUCCUUGUAUCAUUAGGGAUGUGGUCCGACUUCCAUUCUAAUUCUAGAUGCACAAGGUGUUUAUCCUUCACAUUUGCUUCUGAUGCAUCUAAAGGAUUGAAAAUAUUCUGCAAGUCAUUGAUUGAUAGCCAUCCACGAAGAUUGAGUCCUCCCAAUCCGCUCAGUUGCUUAGUACUUAGCUCGCUAUUUCUAUCCACGAAAAACGUACUUAGUACUUGAAGAUUCUUCAAUUCUCCAAAAUGCAUUCGCAUCUUUGACACUCUUGUACCUUUAAAUUCCAGGCAAUGCAAUUUAGUAAGUUUAUGCAAAUUUAAUGGCAAUUUCUUGAACCUUUGACACCAGUUCAACUCCAAGAAACACAAUUUGGUAAGUUUGUGCAAAUUUAAGGGCAAUUCCUCCAGCUUUGAACAAUAGUUCAACUUCAGUAUUAGUAAGUUAUAGAGCAAACACAUCGAGUUAGGUAGCUUUUUUAUCGCAGUAUGCGAAAGAUCUAAUGAAUGGAGAUGUCUAAGAUCACCUAUAGAAUCUGGGACCUCUCUAAGGAAUGAACAAUCAUGGAAAGAUAACAUUCGUAUAAACUUAAUCUUGGAAAACAAAUCAUGUAUUGAAGUCUUGAAAUGCCAUUGAGGUUUCCAUAAUUGUGGGAUAGGAAGAAAUGAACGAAAUCUUUUAGCAUCAAUUAAACUCCCAAAACCAUCAAAACUUUUGACGUCACAAAAUUCAAAUGAAAAAUGACGGGUUGUUUUCGGUAUACAUCUGCCUUUAUCAAAUUUCAACCUGAAACAAGAAUUCGCACAAACAUAUUUUGCCAAAUCAUUCAGAAGGUCAUGCAUGACAUAACCUCUCUUAGCACCUAUACGUUGAAAAAAAGACCUUGACAAUAGAUCAUUGAAGUGCUCUUCACCAACUUCUUCUAGAUGUCUAAUCUGUUGUGGACUUUGUAGAAAAUUUUGGGUCAUCCACAUCAAAAUUAACUCCUUCACAAACUCAUAAUCUUUAGGGAAUAAGGCACAAUAAGCAAAGCACCUUUUAAGAUGAGAAGGAAGACAGCGAUAGCUCAAAAAUAACGCAGGGAUAAUUUCAUUGUGUUCUGGUAACUCCCAUAUAUCACUUUCGAAUAUGCUUUUCCAAUCUGAAAUAGAUGACUUUGUGCGUAAAAGACAUCCAAUUGUUUUCAGAACUAGAGGUAAUCCCUUGCACUUCUCAACUAUUCUUCUACCAACCUUCAUUAACUCAUCAUUCAAUUCAAGAUCACCAUCUUUAAUUGCAUGAUUUUCAAAAACUUUCCAGCCAUGCUUUGACGUGUGGAUCUGUGAACUGCUUUAGUUCAGCAUCAUCAGCGAGAGCAUUGAUGGAAUGCAGCUUGAUGUUCAAAUUGGCGAGGAGUUUCUCAUCAAGUUUUCUUCCAGGAAAAAAGUCCAGAAGUUGAGGAGAAGUCAGCUUGUCGAAUGCAACCUGAAGAAAGGCGGAAAGAAGAGCACCACCAACAAAUGAAGUGAAUGGAAGUGUGUGAUUUGAAAUGGACAGUGAUUAAGUGCAAGGAAUCUUUCUCAAUCAAUGACCUUUUUUAAGUCUUCCCAUCAACGGUUUCUGAUAAACAAAAUAUUCACAGCUCUAAUCCAUGAAUGGAUGUCUCACAAUAAGAUGCAAUAAACAAAUAUGCCUCGUAAACUUUCAUAUUCUCUAACUUCAGAUAUAUUAUAAUUAAGCAUAUCUAUUUUAUGUCUACGUUUUUUUUUUUUUGUUAAAGAUCCGAUUUGUUUCUUAAUGUAUGUUGUUGGAUUUUAUUUUAUAAUAUUUAUACUUUGUUUAUGAAUUUCCAAGCUAGCUUAAUUAGUUACCGUUUGUAACGUAUGAGGUGUUUUUUAGAACUUGUGUAUAUAGGGACAGAAUGAAAUAAGAUGGUGGGAUACUUAAAGGGUCUUAUAAAGCUAGAUAUUUAUUCUUAAAUAAAUAGGAAAUGUGUUUUUAGUGGAAACAAAAACAUUUUGCAUUUUGACAAAUUUUGGGAAGAAGUUACUAUAAAAAUGNNNNNNNNNNNNNNNNNNNNNNNNNNNNNNNNNNNNNNNNNNNNNNNNNNNNNNNNNNNNNNNNNNNNNNNNNNNNNNNNNNNNNNNNNNNNNNNNNNNNAAUACAAAACCGAGAGGUCUCAUUUUUUGCAUGGCAGAAAACAAAAACCGAGAGGUUUUCUCAUUUUUUGCAUAGCAGAAAACAAAAACCGAGAGGUUUUAUCAAAAAACCGAAAGGUUCCAAUACAAAACCGAAAGGUCUUAUCAAAAAACCGAAAGAUUCUAAAACAAAAACCGAGAGGUCUCAUUUUUUGCAUGACAUAAAACAAACACCGAGAGGUUUUAUCGAAAAAACCGAAAGGUUCUAAUGCAAAACCAAGAGGUCUCAAGACAAAACCGAGAAGUCUAAAUAAACAUUGGCGUAUCAGUAUCAAGUCCAAAAGUUCAAGCCUAUAAAAAUAGUCAAAAUUGGUCUCUAACUCCAAAAUUAGAAAGUUCAUAGACAAUUAUUUUCGGUUCAAACUCAAAAAUUGAAAGUGGACAAUCACAUCUUCACUUUAUCUUUCAUGCACAUUUGUGAUAAAUAAAGAUUAUUCACUAGCAAAUAAUUGGGAUACGUGCAAAAUAACUAUCAAGUGGCUGGGACAAAACAUGUUACAUCAUCAGUGCCACCCUGGAACUUUACUUGGGAGUUCUUACAAACCAACUGAAACACGCUAUUCGGCGCCGGCACGCCUCACAUCAUCAGUGCCACCAUCUUCAUCUUCAUCUUCAUCAUAAGGAAUUUCACUGAUGGGCAUCAGUUCGUCAUUAUAAAAAUCUUUGCCCAUGUCGAAAUUUCCAGCAUCCGAUGGACUCUUGUAAAAAUACUCGGCUUGCUGGAGAGGUUUUGCUAAACCCAACUUGUGUUGCUGAACAACAUAACCCUCAGCUCGAGUAACCCUUGAAUUCAAGUGGUUUUUCACAGAUUCUAAACGAAGAUUAUUAUCAGCUUCAGCGAAGUUUCCUUUCAAACGUUGAAUCUCAUUGUCAAGGGAUAACUUAUGAGUCGUUAACUCAGUAACCUCAUCCUUCAAAGACUCUUUCUCGGCUUCAUCACAAUCAUUAGCCUUAGACAAACUCUUCAACUUGGGAAGUUAAGGAUAUGAUCUUCUCAUUUGAUUCAGUUGCUUCCUUUUUCAAUUUUUCAAGUUCAAAAGAAGAAACAUCCUUAGUCUCUUCUCUUAUUGCUUUGCCAAUUAGUAAACUCCGACUAGUAGCCUACGAGAACAUGUCACGGGAAGAAGCAUUGGGACUAGUAUGCACAAAAUCCGAAAGUUAUAGGUCGAAAAGUUGGCCGAAAGGAAAUCCGAAAGGUAAACGGCCGAAAGGUAAACACAUCUUCAAACAAAGCAAAAAUUAUGUUAUUCAAGACUCUUGCUGGAUUCAACCAACUCUUUAUUCAGCUUCAAGAUCUAUAGCUUCUUCACUUGAACUCCUCACUACUAACUUGCUCGAUGACAUUGCAAGUAUUGUCCGAACGCCCGCUCGCUCGAUUAUCAUCGCGAGUGCCGGCCGAUCACUCACCAAAUUUGCUCGAUUCAUCUCAAUUACUUUCCUGAUAGCCUCGUUACUCAUGUCCACAAAUUCUGUAAAUUCAUCAGAAAUCGAAACAGAGCCUGCAGAAGACAUUAUACCUUUUGAGAGUAUUCGGUUCAAUCUUUCUGAAUCAAUAAAAACAAAAAACCCUUCCAACCGAAGCGUUACGAUAUCACAAUUAUAACUCGUCAUGUUAAUCGACAUAAUCAAGAAAAGUACACGAAACAAGGCAAUACUUUGAUACGGAAGGUAUUAACUACAAAAUUUGUCCUUUUCAUUAGGCAUAACGUCUUUUUCAAAUCCUCAUGCCUGGGGGGCUAGUGUACUGUCUCGACCGAAAGGUCAACUGAAAGUCUCGACCGACCGAAAGGUUGUACGGCCGAAAGGUCAACCGAAAGUCUCGACGCCGAAAGGUCAACUGAAAGUCUCGACCGACCAAACGGUUGUGCGACCGAAAGGUCAACCGAAAGUCUCGACCGACCGAAAGGUUGUGCGUAAAAUUAAAUUAGUGAUUAUAGCAAAGCCCAUAAGAUGGGCCCAAAUAUACAGGUGUGUGUUUUCAAAAUGUUAGGUGCAAAAAGAAAAGACCUAAGUAACUCUUAAGCCCAAUAAGAGAGUCUUAUAAAUAGAGGUUCAACUCAAAAGGUAAGGAGAAUUUUCAAUUGAUCUGAUAAGCAAAAAACUAUAUCUGACUUUGGCAUCGGAGCGCCUUGCAGGUACACACACCCACCUGUGAGGAGAAGAAGUCGAGAGCCCAACCCGAGAAGAAGCCGAGAUCACCUAGCUGAAGGAGAGGCCGAGAGCGCCUAGCUAAAGGGGAAGUCGAGAGCACUUAGCCGAAAGAGAAGCCGAGAGCCCAACCCGAGAAGAAGCCGAGAUCACCUAGCCGAAGGAGAAGCCGAGAGCACUUAGCCGAAAGAGAAGCCGAGAGCAUCUACCUUGAGGAGAAGUCUAGAGCACCCAAUGUGAGAAGAGACCUAAACCCUAAACCCUAAACCCUAAACCACACGCAGCAUUCGUUCCCAUUUUAAUCUUAAAUUUCAUCUAGGUUUUGUUUCUGCUAGGUUUCAUCUUGCAUAAUAUUUAGUCUAUUUUUGUCUUUCUAUGUUCAUCACUUUUUUUCAAUUUUCCUACCUUGAUUGUUAGUUUCCAAAACUGAUAGUAGCAUAAUUAAUUGAAACAGUGGCGUGCAUUGCAGAAAAGUGCGUUCUGUUUUGUUCCUUGAAAAGCAAAUUUAGAAGCAAAUAGACCCAGAAAGAGGUUCAGAAAAAAAAGUUUAGUUAGAAAAAUGGAGUUUAGAAGUCUCUAAUUGUUCAUUUCAAUUUUUUAGUAUAGUUCGCUGAACUAAUCAGUAAUAGUUCAGUGUUGACGAGGAUAAAUUUGUUUUGUUUUAUGCUGGCACAGGUAAAAUAUAUUGUAAAAUUUCUAAAGCUUCUUCCAUUAACAAAUACAUGUGUCUUUUCUUAGAAGAAUUUCAAGUUAAAGUUGUAAUGUCAGAAGUAAAAGGUAUUUGCAAUGCUCACUGCUUCAAUUUUUUUUUUAUCAGCAAAGAAUUAAAAUUAAAUUUAAACGGGACAUUUCAGGGAUGUCCCAACCCUUAUACAAACCUCCUCCAUCACAUAUAGAUAAAACACAUGUGGAACAGAGUUAUAGAUAAACCUGAGAAACUUUGGCAUAGAAACAGGGAAAACCGAAAGCUAUUAACCAAAAAAGAUAAGUGCAACCAUGCAGCAAAAGCAGGAGGAAACUUCCCAGCACAGUGCUCCCUUCUGUAUCUCAAGGACCAUGAACCAGCGCUCACUAUGACACGUGGCACUUCCUAUCUUUCAACUUUAGCAUGCCAGCACCUGUUUGUAACUCCUGUAUCCUUUCAAGUGUCCUUGGGUUGCCUAUCUUACGUACUUGGCCUCAACAUUUGACCCAGUUAAUUCACCGAACACCGCCUACAAACUUGAGAACAAAAACCUGCACCAUGCAACGCCCGUUGGUUCAGACACAUUGACGCUCACCCCCCGUUUCGGCCUACUCCUUAGCAUCUCUGCUUACUCCACUCCAGCUAAUAGCAGUAACCAGAAAAUGCCGGAGCUCCUCUCCAACAGACCUGAUAAACCUUAAGGACUUGAUAACGGAGGUCAGACAUCCAACUUUUGUUCCAGCCUCCAUACCAGCUAAACCUUCUAGGUUUAUAAACUUCACGCAUCCUGCAAGAACACCCUACAACAGUACUUACCACGAGCUCAGCAAUCUGGGUGUUGCUUGCCCAGAGCACUCCACGCUAACAGAUUGUAUGCACUUCUUUGCUAAGACCUAAACCUGCUGUCACCGGAGAACCAUAAGGCACUGGUUCGGGUUCAAAAUCCAGUCAGAUAGCCCAUAUGAAAAAUCAGUUGUGUUGUGUUUUAUCCACAACCAGGAUUGUACUUGAGCAUUUUGGAAUACUUCGUCCGCAUCUGGUACCCCAUCCUUAAAAACUAUCAGGUUCCUCUGCUCCCAAAUGCACCUGAUAAUUAUCACCCACAAACCUAUCCACACUUGAUUUUGCUUGCUAGAGAGGUGGAUUAAGUGAAAGUUCAGCAUAUGGUUCCUAAUAUCCUUGUUAUGGGCCCCCAAAACACCAAUCCAGCGAUAGCAUCGAGACCAGACUUGUUGUGCAAGGGUGCAGUCAAGGAACAGGUGUUGGGAUGAUUCUACGGCCAGAUUACACACAGGGCAUAAGGAAGAGAUCAUGUGCACUCCUCUUCUAGAAAGGUUAACUCUGGUAGGAAUUCUGUCAUGAAGGACUCUCCAUGCAGUUAUAAGUGCUUUUGGUGAGGCUUUUGCUUGCCAUAAGGUACUGAACACUCCUUCGUUUUCCCCCGUAGCUUGGUGAUUGGCCAGAACAGAGUAGGCUGAUCUCACUGAAAAAAUUCCAGUUGGAUCCUUCCUCCAUACAAGGUGAUCGUGAGAGUCCUUACAUAUAACUCCCGUAUACAAGCUUGAGAGCAUAUUUUCCUCCAUGCUUGACUCCCAAUCAUACCUAUCCCUUCUCCAAUUAAGCUGCCACUGCCACCUAUCAUUCUCCCAUCCUCCUACCUCCCCCACCGUCUUACCCUGAUCAAGCGACAAAGAAUAGAGUCUAGGAUACAGGGCUUUUAGGCAAAAAUUUUGUAACCACGUGUCCUCCCAAAAACGGACUAGGCCUCCAUCGCCUAUUCUCCACACAAUGGCGUUGUGGAACCAAUCUUCCUCUUCCCCGUCACCACAUACCUUAGCUAGGUCCUUCCACCACCAUGAUUGGUAUCUCUUCCUUGUCUCUCCUCUAAUUGUUUCUGUACCAUAUUUAGAAACAAUAAUAUCCUUCCAUUUUCCUCCCUCAUUAUUCAUGAUCCUCCAUUUCCAUUUUGCCAAAAGAGCCGCAUUAAAGAACCUAGUCUCUUUAAUGCCCAACCCUCCUUCCUCCUUGUGCCUACAAAUAUUUUUCCAACUUACCCAAGAGAUUGAUUUAUUUUCACUACCCCAUGCCCAAAGGAACUUCCUUUGCAACCUGCAGAUGCUGUCAUGUACAGCUGCAGGGGCUUUAAAAAUAGAGAAGUAAAACAGAGGUAUGGCAGUGAACACCGACUGGAGCAGACAAAUUCGGCCCGCCAUAGAUAAGAAUUUUCCUUUCCAAGUACUAAGUCUGGACUCAAUUUUCUUUAUUACCGGCUCCCAAAACUGUUUCUUCCUCGGGUUUCCCCCCACUUCGACUCCCAGAUAUUUAAGAGGGAGCCGCAUGGUGUUACAGUUUAGGGUCUUCGCAUAGGUAUCCAGGGUAUAGCUGUCAACACUAAUGCCUACCAACUUCGAUUUGUGGAAAUUAACUUUCAAUCCAGACAGGAUUUCAUAGCACCGGAGGAUGGCUUUGAUAGAGAAAAUAUUUGAGAAGGAAUCUUCACACAUAAAAAGUGUAUCAUCUGCAAACUGAAGUAAGCAACACUCAAUACUGCUUCUUCCCACCUUUACUCCCCUGAGAACAUUCAUACGUAGCGCUUGUCUUACCAACCCUGCUAAACCUUCGGCUACCACUAGGAACAAGAAGGGAGCUAGGGGGUCCCCCUGCCUCAACCCCCUAGAAGGUUGGAAUUCCUCCGUAGGGCUCCCAUUGAUCAAGACAGAAACAGUCGACGACACCAAACACCCUUUAACCCACAAGAUCCAUUUAUCAUGAAAACCCAAUCUACAAAGCAUAUCAAACAAGAAAGACCACCUCACAGAGUCGUACGCCUUUUCAAAGUCUACCUUAAAACAGACCCCGCUCCUCCUAUUUAACUUUAACUCUUCUAAAAUUUCGUUAGCCAUAACAACACUACCCGUUAACCCUCUUCCACUAAGGAAGGCGGACUGACAAUCGUCAAUGAUCAUCGACAUAACUUUCCUCAUGCGUCGGGACAAGAUCUUUGUGAUUAUCUUAUAAAUAACUCCUACAAGAGAUAUCGGACGAAAUUGAUCUAGCGAGGAAGGGUCUCUAACCUUGGGGACAAGAGCAAUGAAGGAGGCAUUGCAACCUUUCGGAAAAGUUCCCGUAGCAUGAAAAAAGUGCACCGCUGCCAUAACAUCAGGCUUGAUCACAUCCCAAGAUGACUUAACAAAGUUGAAGUUAAAGCCAUCCGGGCCCGGGCUCUUAGACCCUCCACACUGCCACACAGCAUCCUUCACUUCAUCCUCGGAAAAAGUACUUGUCAUGUUCCUGCUCACCUCAGGAGAUAGAGAUUUAAAGUCCACUAUACCCAGAUUAAUGCCAUAGUCCUGUGUAGCCGUGAAGCGCUUUUCAAACAAAGACUUAGCUUCCCUACGAACAACAUCCGGUUCUUCACACCACAAACCGUCAAUCUCAACCCCUUUGACCUCAUUCUUAAGUCUUCUCCAUCUAAUUGCAUUGUGGAAGAAUUUUGAGUUAAUGUCCCCAUGCUUAAUCCAGUUCCCCCUCGCCUUUUGUCUGUAUAAUGAGUCUAACUUUUUCUCAAUCAACCCCAAUUGGCUGAAUAAUUCCAUUCUUCUCAACUUACCAUUUUCCACCAGAACAUCAUUGUCAUCUUUGACAUCAAGAUCCUCUAUUUCUGCCACAAUAUUUUUCUUUUUAAGUUCCAUACAGCCGAAUUCUUCUUUAUUCCACACUCUUAUAUCAGCCUUCAGGAGCUUCAAUUUAUCCUUAAGAGAGGACAUACUAUUGCCAUGAACAGAAUAUGAUCCCCAUUUUUCCUUUACCAGAGCCUUAAACCCCGGUUCUUCAAGCCAUACAUCUAAAGACCUAAACGGUUUAGGCCCCCAGUCUUUAACACACGACUUCAACACCAGGGCACAGUGGUCAGACACCAUUCUUGGUUGUACAUGUUGCUUAGAUGCAGGCCAUUGGUUGAGCCACUCCUCAGAGACCAAGAUUCUAUCAAGUCUACUCUUAGCCGUGCCAUUGGAUUUGAACCAAGUGUACUUUUUACCAACAAAGGGUAGGUCCACCAACCCAUUACUUUCAAUAAAGCAAUUAAAACCGUCAAUCUCCUUCUUUUGGCUUAAGCUACCUCUGAUCCCUUUCCUUUCAUCUUCACUCCUAACAGCGUUGAAAUCACCACAGACACACCACGCCAAGUUCACAUAUGUUUGCUUAAGAGCCGUCAAAGUUUCCCACAAAACACCCUUAUCCUUUAGGUUACACGCUGCAUAGACAUUUACCACUACGCACUGACGUUGAGCUUUCAGAUGUUGGCCCACAAUUGCAAUGUAACCUUUUCCAAUCACAUGGCUGCCAUACUCGAACACUUCUUUGCGCCACAUAGUUAUCAUACUCCCUGCCCCAUUAACCCCUUCGUAGUGGACCCAACCGAUACUACUUUCACCCCAUAAAGAGAAACACUUAGAAUCUGAAAAAGAUGUGGAUUUAGCCUCCUGCAGGCAUAAGAACUCAGCACCCUCCUUUCCCACAAUGUGUCUCAAGUACCGUGCUUUCGUCCCCCCUCCCAACCCUCUUAUAUUGAGAUUUACUAUAAUCAUGGACCCACUUUUUUCUUCCCCCCCUUAGACUUAUUGUUAACUUCAUUGUCUCUUACCUCCAAACGGCCCAAUUCUCCUACCACUCCCUCCGCAUCCCCUGAGCAUUGUAACCCCAAGUUUUGGCCUAACUCCCAAACUCUAACGGAUUCAGCAGCUUGCUCUUUUGACUUAAUCCGACUAUUACACAGAUUAAUAUCAUUAAUCGAUUCAGCAAAGGAGCAGCGACUUAACCUGGAUGAGGAGGUUACACCAUGGAGGGAUCCGAUACCGCCGUUGGUUCUCCAUUUUGGCUGGGCGAUUUUGCUCUCCAUCAAUCUACGAAAUUCCGGCGAGGUUUUGCUUGCCCCUUCUGUGUGGGUUGACGCCUUUUUCCCAUUAGUUGUCCCCAUUCCGCACCCCUCUCGUCGGCGAUUUGUGCUUACACUGGGCUGGGGAUCUGAACUUCCUGAUGAUGAAUCUUGCCCCUCACUAAAAUGAUGCGUUGCAUGGCAUGGGGAGAGACCCGAAUCCUUUUCCUGCACCAGCUCCACUGCUGAGAGGGCAACUCGCCCACUCAUUUUCGACGUAGAACAAAGGUGUGGAGGUGGAGACAAGGCCAGAACUCCAACCCCCUCCUCGUAACCCAUUUUUCGUUCCGAUUCCUCUUUCCAAAAAGGCACUGGGCCUCCCUCUUCUUCUUCUUUACUAGACGCACCCUGGCUCUCUAAUUGGGCUUCAACUUGCUUAGGCCCAAGAAGGUUUGCACUUUGAACCCCUUCAAGUAGGUUAACCAAGCAUUGUUGAAUUACUGUGCAGGCUGCGUUGACUUGGCUUGGAACUGAUAAAGCAGCCCCUCCCUCUGACUCCCCUAUCACUUGUUUUCCUUCUAUGACAGCUGCAUUAGCUAUGCUAGAAGCUGCUAAAGCAGCCCCUCCCUCGGACUCCCCUCGCACACGUUUUCCUUCAUUUAGAGACAAAAACCCACUUUUGUUCUGACAUCCCAUAUCACUCCGUGCCUUCUUGUCAAACUGCUUCCACUUUGUCUCCUGCUUCAGUUGGGAUUGCCCUACCUCCUCGGGUACCACACCCCACCGCCUGUUGCACUGGUUUCGGUCAGCACCUUCCUCUCCAGAGCUUCCUUCGGAAAAAGUUCCCUCCACAACAGUUUCCGACGACGAAAUGCUAUCCGAUGAGCCAAGAUGAUAUUCAAGACAAGAACAAUCUCCACUCCUUAAACUCAAGAUCUCUUCGACCAGGGAAAUGUUGUAAACUUGACCAUUAAUCCUAAAACCCUUCGCCAUUUCUGCUUUCUGAGAUCUAGGUAGCCGAACCAGCAAACGGGCGUACUCCAGAUUCUCCCAAGAAAGAGUAUUUUCAUCGAUAUCUACCAGCGAUGCUACCUCUCCAACCACCCUAGAGAAGCAAUCUUUAUUCCACAAAGUUAUCGGUACACCAAAACACCUCACCCAUACAAUUUUAUGGUCCACUACAUACUUUGCGGACCAGGGUUCGAUACUACCGAACAACGAUAGAAACCAUUCCUUGUUGAGCUCGAAGAGAUCUUCCAUCCGCUCUCCUUCCUUAGGAGUAAGUAGAAUAAGAUUAUCACCCAAAAACCUCAGUUUAAUCAUGUUCAUGCCCCCUUUAACGAACUCAUCCUUAAGGGAGUCGAAAGUAAGAUCAGGGGACAUCCAACCAACCGCACUACGAACCAACCAUGGUGGGGUAUUUGAUUUUGUUACAAAAACAGGGCCUUUCCAUUCGCCUCGCUCAGAUACGCGAACGGCAUCAGCAUAAGACUGUUUAAGGGAAGGGCCUCUACGAACUGCUUGCCCUGAUACAAAAAAUUUUUCACGCCAAACCUCCUUCCCCUUUGACCGACCCCCUGGGCCAUUGCCAUGACUGAAAUCACUUUGGCGCACCUUUGGCUUUUCCUUACUAAAAUCAACCUCUGGUCUCCUGUAUUUUGGGAGGUUAACAUAAAGUUUGAGGUUGCCAAUAUAGAUUUGAUCCAGCUGCUUCUCCAACCUCGCCUCAUUUGGCACUGGGAAGAAACUCACAAAGCCAAAUCUUCUACCCCAUCUAUUUGGACGUUUAGAUAUAAACACAUCUUUCACUCUAGCCCAUUUUUGAAAGAUUCUUAGCAUGUCUUGCUCCCCAUGACUAGUUGGGAAAUUAGAGAAGAAGAAAGUGCUUGAGUUUUUGGUUGAAGACUUUCCUGCCUUAUAAUCUGCCACUCUUCGCCGAUGAUCUUCCCUUUCCCACCUACUCCGAUCUUCCUUUUCCCACCUUCUCCGAUCGCCCAUCACUCUUUUGCUCACUGCUUCAAUGCUCACUGCUUCAAAUACAACUUCAAGUUGUAUGAAAGGAAGUUUAAAAGUAUUUACAUUUCACAACUCCCUUUGCUUCAAUUUCCCUCUCUCAUGUAAGAGUCACAAUUUCAAACCCUUUUACUUGUUUUCUCCGUAUUUCAUCGUAGAAUGGUUUUGUACAAAAAGACAUAGAAAGACCUAUGGAAGAAAUAGGGUUGAAACACAUGCAUAACAGUUACCAUCACUUCUAAAGGUUUGCAUCAAGGUAGAAUGAGAGGUCAAGAAGAAUAUCCCCAUAGAAUUGCUUAGAAUCCUUUGCCAACCGAAGAAGGUGUCUCCCUCCGGAUUCAGAUUGGAAUACUGUGAAAAAGAUAAUGUGAUUAUCAAUCAAAUCAUUAAUUUAAAAUUAACAAACCAACAAAAGAAAUCAGAAGACAAGUCAUGAAUUAUAUUAGCAUAAGAUUUUGUACAGCUACAUUUUUAGAUCAAUGUGUGGGAGAUCAAACAAAUCUCUGAUAAAUUAUAGUUUAACCAUAUUGCUUCAAUGAGAUUCGACAAUCACAUAGCUGAGAUCAGCUACAAUUUACUAUUGUCAGUUACUAGUGCAUUUGAUAUAUAUAUAUAUAUGUGUCUGUUACUAUUAGUAUAAUUGAUAAUAAUAAUAAUAAUAAUAAUAUUCUUAUUAUUAUAAAUAAUAUUAAUAAUAAUAAUAACAAGUGUUAAUAAUAAUAAUAAAAUUAAUAAAAAGUAAUAUAAAUAAUAAUAAAUAUUAUUAUUUUAAUAUUACACCGUGCAUUAGUAGGUAUAUGCCAUUCACAUGGUUAAGGCCUGCAUUAGGAUUUUAGGUAAUAUGUCUAAACAAUAUAUGUCUAAUCAUAUGGAUGGAAUUUCGCUCUUAAAAGUUAUUUUUGACAUUAGCACGAGCCUAGUAAGGUUUUUAUUCAUGUACAAGUGUAUUGAGACUUUCCUGUUGUAUGUUGGGUUAAAGUGAACAUUGAUGAUGAUGCUUGAGAGUCUCCUAACCCUGCUGCUUGUGCAAGUAUCCUUAAAGGAAGUCACGAGGACUAUAUUGGUGGUCUUGUAUGUUCCUGUUUCUUACCAAAAUUUUGAUUUGAUCUCCACAUGUUUUUUAUCUUUUUAUGUUAUGUUUCAUGUAAUAUUGACAAAAAAAACAUCUUUAACAGCAAACAGUCAUGGCUUAACAAGUGUAUCUUUGAACUACUUUGGCUAUGCAUCAUGAGCGAAAGCAUUGAUGGAAAACAACAUUUUGAUGUUGAAUUUGUUGAGCAGUGCUACAUGGAAGUUUCUUGUACGAAAGUAGUUUAGAAAUAACAGAAAAAAGUGAACCACCAAUGCAUGCUGCUGUCAUGCUAGGAAUAGUACAAUACAGGGUUUGUAUACAUACACAAGUCAACAAAUAGUUGUUAAGUCUUCCAUUGACAUUCAGAACUAAAGAGAAGUACAGAGUGUGACUUUGGAAGAGGUGUGGAAGAAAUAAGGUACAAAGAAACGCAUAACACCCAAAAGGGUAACAUCUCCUGAAGGCUCGAUUCACAUAAAGUCUAAGCACAUUGUUCAGUGUCCUGCUCAGAAUUCUGGUGAGCUGAAGAGACUUCCUUCUACUCCCUCCAUACAUACAAACAAAUACUGUAAACAAGAUAGUGUGAUUAACUCAUUCACUUCAAAAUCAAGACCCCAAAAAAGAAUGUACAUCAGCAUACAAAUUUUUUAGAGCUUCAUAUUUAGAUUUUUCCAAUUAAAGUGCAGUGCUAAAGCUUCACAACACAAUGCUAAUUGCAUUCACUGCUAGCUCCAUGUUUAGAUUAAAAAUAUGCGAAAUUAAACAAAUUUAAGAUAAAUUAUUGUUGAGCCAUAUUGAUUAAAGGAGAUUCUGCAAUGGGGUUGGAGUAGCUACAUACAGCUUGAAUUGAGUAUGGUUAGUGAGUGAUGUAGUUGAUGAAUGAUAAAGCACAUGUCUCUGCCAUUAAUGUAUAUUCUAAUUCCUACUUUCAGAAGCAACUAAGAAAAUUGUAAUCGAAAAGGUACAAAAUAUUGUGGAGAAUUAGAACCUGUUGAAGUGGCAGACAAAUUGAAAUAGGUGCACGCCUAAUUUUGAACUUGUCACUCAUCUUAUGGCCAAACAUCUAAUUUUUUAUGCACGCCUAAUUCUGACAACGCUCCUCCAGCAAUGGACAAUUAAAGAUUUCAAGAGAAGAGAUGGAUUUGGGGAGACCCUCCGCUGGUAAGCAUUCAAGGCUGGGACAAAAAAGAAGUGAGAGAGAGGAGAGGUGGCAGAGACCCUUGUAGUGCAUCUUUUUAAGAUUUUGGCAAUAUUGGAUUUCUAGAGAGGUGAGAGAGCGUGGCAGCAAAACUUCAUCGGGAAAACACUCCACCUCCAACUGUUGAAUAGUCAAGCUUUGAAGACAUGUGUUGGGAUCCAAGUUGUCUCUCAAGGAGGCGAUAAGUUUUAAACAUGAAAGAGACAUUUCUUUUAUAUUUAAUGGCAAACCUCCAUCUGGGAACAACUCAACUUCUGGACACAUAGUUAUAUGCAGCAAGGUAAGGGACGGAAACAUGAUUUGCAUGGGUUUGGGAAAAAAGAAUGAUUUAAAUUGAGGGCAAUCUUCAAUAGGUAGAUCCAUGAGAUGAUUAUGAGCGUACUCCUGUGAAAUUCUUUCUAUGUGGUGGCAGUAUAUCAGUUGAAGAGAACGGAGCUUUGGAAAGAAAUGUAGUGGAAAGAUUGUAAGAGAGUCGGUGCCUCCAUCAGUAUGCGAUGUGUCCAUACUGUUUCCGCUAAUUCUGAGCUCAUCACUAACAACUACUUUCUUUAAAUCAGUACCUUUCAGUUUCGGACAUUUAUCCACAUGAAGCUUUUGAAGACGUGGAAAAGACGUAGUUUUACACUCCCAUUCUUCCCAUUCCUUCAUAUUGUAGAAGUGGAAAUGAAGUGAAAUGGAUUGAGUGGAGGAAUGAAUGGUAUAGUGAUGAAUGAAAAGAGUAGUUAGAAAAGAUGACUUGACUUUAAGAACAUGUUUUUCUUUUAUGGCAACUCAACCAAUAUAAAAUGUGAGCUGUUGGAUAUUCAUUCAACGGUUGUGAUGAAUGAACGAAUGGAAAGAGGGUUGUGGGCCCCAGUGAAGUAGUAAUUGUUAACUGUUUCUGAUGUACUAAAUUUGAGAGUUAUUUUUUAUAUGAAAUUAGCUUUCAGAUUAUAUAAUUCAGAAGUUUUUUUUUUUAAUUGCGUGAUUAGCUUUUGGAUUAUAUAAUUUAUAGGUAUUUUAAAUCAAAAAAAACUUAAGGAUUUUAUAAAUAUAAAAAAAAAGAAUAAAAUGGUAUUUUUAUAUUUAGUAUGGAGGUAGAAGGUAUUGAAGUUGAGGAAGAAGCAGUCUUGAUCAUCACACACAAGUGCUAAUAACCAACCAAAUAUAGUGGUCCACAAAACUCAAGACGAAAGAAAAAAUGAGAACCUAGAGCAGUGCACUCCAAUGGAGGAGAAGGAAAACCAAAAUCUAUUUUUAAUUUUAAAACCCUAGAGGGUAAUUUCGUCUUACCCAGCCUAUUCCAUUACAAAUUAAUGGGUUAACUUCAUUUUUUAAAAAUGGUAACGUUUUAGUUUAGUUUUUUUUUCUCUUAUUAUUUUCUAAUAUGAAAACUAAAAUCAAUAUGCAUAUAUUGACUAUAAUAUAUAUGUAUAUGUAUAUGUAUAAUAAUAAUAAUAAUAUCAAUAAAUGGAAAUUCUAAAUAUAUAUCAUAUAAAAAACACUAAAUAAUAAUUAGAAAUAACAUUCAAAUAAAAUCUAAAUAAUUAUCUCAAAAGUCAAUCCAACAUAUUCCUUUUGAAACAUAAAAUCUAAAUAGGAAAAUACAAUCCAAAAUCAUAAAAAUAUAUUACUAUCCAAUAUCAAUAAUUCACGUCUCUAGCCUUUACGUAAUAUUAGGGUUAGAGUCUUGAAUGCAAUAAUAAAGAUUAUAUUUUUUUUUUUAUCCCCAUAUACAAUAAGAAUUUUUUAAUUAUAAAAGAUUAAGUAAUAAAUAAUUAAACUAAUGGUACCUGUUCUAUAUUAUGUAACUAAUUUUGAGUUAAAAUAAAUGUCUCGAUAUUUUUUUGAAGGAUAGAACANNNNNNNNNNNNNNNNNNNNNNNNNNNNNNNNNNNNNNNNNNNNNNNNNNNNNNNNNNNNNNNNNNNNNNNNNNNNNNNNNNNNNNNNNNNNNNNNNNNNNNNNNNNNNNNNNNNNNNNNNNNNNNNNNNNNNNNNNNNNNNNNNNNNNNNNNNNNNNNNNNNNNNNNNNNNNNNNNNNNNNNNNNNNNAUAUUAUAUAUAUAUAUAUAUAUAUAUAUAUAUAUAUUGUAAAAACUUUCAUGUUAGACAUUAUUAUGUAACUUGACAUCUCAGGUAGGUUGACAUUAUAAAAACAGAUUCACAAAACUGUACUCAAAUAAAAGUAAUCAACCAAAAUUAGCAAUAAAAGGACUACAAGGAAUUGAUGACAUUGUAGGAAAAACAUGACUAGACAAAACAAAUAUGGAUUCUAAAAUCAAAAUGACUCAAACACAAUGAAUUUCACCAAUUAAAAAUAGCAAGAAAGACUCAAAAUAAAGCAAAAACAGAAUUACUAACACAAAAACAGAAUCAAAGUAUCCAACAACUCAAAAAAAAAUUUCAGCACAACCAUAACACUAGAUACCACAUGAUAUGAGCUGGAUUGACACUAAACAAGAUACACAACAUAUAAGGAGGCUUAAGGUCAUCUCAAUGGAGGAUAAUGCCAUCCAAAAGAGAAGCCAAACUCAUUCAAACAAUGAGUGCCACGUCAUUAUCACAAACACUUGGCGGAAUUGAAAGGAAAGCAAGAACAAAAUAAGAACACAAAUAGAAAAACAAUUGAAAUGUGUAAUUGCAAAAACUGGACAGAAUUGAAAGAAGAAAUGAAUCUAUCUAUUGAAAUUGAAGAAACAAGAUGAAGGAAGAUGAAACUUAUGUGGUUGAAGCUUGGUUUGGGAAAUGGACACGCCACUUGGAUGAUGAAUGUUCCAAGAUAAGUGCAGAUUUGCCGCCACUUGAAUGCUCCCAAUGCAUCACAAGAUAAGACAAGGAAGAGGAGAACUAGUCUCACAAUCACUCACAAAUUGAGCAUAGUAACUUUACUCUAUUUUCAAAUCUGAAUUUUACAAGAGCAAGCACCUCUAUUUAUAGCCUUAGAGGUGCUGAAAUAAAAAGCUAAUCAAAUUCAAAUUUCCCUCUAAAUCUAAUUCAAAUUUGGAGCCAAACUUGAGUCACAUGGAAGGUGUGACCUUAUGUUGGGCUUGGGCCUCAUAUUUUUAAGAAGACUACUAGGAAGAACUUCAACUAUUGUUGUCCUUGACCAUUCCUCUUAUUGAUGGCCUCUGUAACUGCUUGUUGAGAAUACCUUUAGAGUAUAGCAUCCUUGGUCAUCUUCAUGUAUUUUUCAUUCUCAUCACCUUUUGUGAUUUGGUUAUGGAUGUGCCUCCUUACCUGAGCGCAAACAACAUAUGAAAGUUCUUGUGUGAAUUUUUUCAGCGCAAUACGGACCCAGAAUAAAAUUGCACAAAGUUGGGCGAAAUUUCACUAGUUUUGGUAGAGGAUAGCCUUUGGUUUGCACAAAAUUUAUGAAAAAUUCUCCCGAAAUAGUUUUUUCCUGAAAUUCCACGUAAGAAUCUCCACUGAAUUUGGGACAAAACGCGAAAAAUUUCUGGUCAAACGGAUGAGUAUUCACCCACGAAAAAAUCAAACAGUUUCACACACAAACGAACCUUCCUUUCAGCCAUGACAGUGAUGAAUAAAAAGUUUAUUGCCAAUCUUGUGGGACGAAUGUGGAGCUCAAGUCUCAGCCAAACCUCAAUAGACACAGUGACACGUCUGGUAAAAAUUUCAGACCAAAAUACCCAAGGAGUAAGGCGUAGUAAGUCCCAGACCGAGAGUGAACAAAACUAGUUUUCCGAAACAAAACGUCCUGGCUUUUCUUCCCCGUAUCUUCCUUCUGUGAUUUGUUUAUUCAGCGCAAUACAAACCCAGAAUAAAAUUGCAGAAAGUUGGGCGAAAUUUCACAAGUUUUGGUAGAGGAUAGCCUUUGUUUUGCACAAAAUUUCUGAAAAAUACUCCCGAAUUAGAUUUUUCCUGAAAUUCCACGUAAAAAUCUCAAUUGAAAUUCGGAAAAAACGCGACAAAUUUCGGGUCAAAUGGAUGAGUAUUCACCCACGAAAACAUCAAACAAUUUCACACACAAACGAACCUUCCUUUUAGCCCUAGCAGUGAUAAAUAAAAGUUUAUUGUCAAUCUUGUGGGACGAAUGUGGAGCUCAAGACACAACUAAAACUCAAUAGACACAGUGACGAACGUCUGGUAAAAGUUUCAGACCAAAAUACUCAAGGAGUAAGGCGUAGUAAGUCCCAGACAGAGAGUGAACAAAAUUGGUUUUCCGAAAACAAAACGUCUUGGUUGCAAACAACAUAUGAAAGUACUUGUGUGAAUUUUUUCAACACAAUACGGACUCAAAAUAUAAUUGCAGAAAGUUGGGCGAAAUUGAAGAAGUUUUGGUAGGGGAUAACGUUUGGUUUGCAAAAAAAUUUCUGAAAAAUUCUCCAAAAAUAGUUUUUUCUUGAAAUUAACCGUAAGAAUCUCCACUGAAUUUGGGACAAAACGCGACAAAUUUCGGGUCAAACGGAUGAGUAUUCACUAACGAAAAAAAUCAAACAGUUUCACACAUAAACGAACCUUCCUUUCACACAUUGCAGUGAUGAAUAAAAAAUUUAUUGCCAAUCUUGGGGGACGAAUCUGGAGCUCAAGUCUCAGCCAAAACUCAAUAGACACAGAGAUCAACGUCUGGUAAAAAUUUCAGACCAAAAUACCCAAGGAGUAAGGCGUAGUAAGUCCCAGACCGAGAGUGAACAAAACUGGUGUUCCGAAAACAAAACGUCCUGGCUUUUCUUCCCCGUAUCUUCCUUUUGUGAUUUGUUUGUGGACGUGCCUCCUUACCUGGGUGCAAACAACAUAUGAAAGUACUUGUGUGACUUUUUUCAGCGCAAUACGGACCCAGAAUAAAAUUGCACAAAGUUGGGCGAAAUUUCACAUGCUUUGGUAGAUGAUAGCCUUUGGUUUGCACAAAAUUUCUGAAAAAUUCUCCUGAAAUAGUUUUUUCCUGAAAUUCCACGUAAGAAUCUCCAUUGAAUUUGGGACAAAACGAGACAAAUUUCGGGUGAAACGGAUGAGUAUUCACCCACGAAAAAAAUCAAACAGUUUCACACAAAAACGAACCUUCCUUUUAGCCCUGGCAGUGAUGAAUAAAAAAUUUAUUGCUAAUCUUGCGGGACGAAUCUGGAGCUCAAGUCUCAGCCAAAACUCAAUAGACACAGUGACGAACGUCUGGUAAAAAUUUCAGUCCAAAAUCCCCAAGGAGUAAGGCGUAGUAAGUCCCAGACCGAGAGUGAACAAAACUGGUUUUCCGAAAACAAAACGUCUGGCUUUUGUUCCCCGUAUCUUCCUUUUGUGAUUUGUUUAUGGACGUGCCUCCUUACCUGGGUGCAAACAACAUAUGAAAGUACUUGUUGAGUUUUUUCAGCGCAAUACGGACCCAGAAUAAAAUUGCACAAAGUUGGGCGAAAUUUCACAAGUUCUAGUAGAGGAUAGCCUUUGGUUUGCACAAAAUUUAUGAAAAAUUCUCCCGACAUAGUUUUUUCCUGAAAUUCCACGUAAGAAUCUCCACUGAAUUUGGGACAAAACGCGACAAAUUUCGGGUCAAACGGAUGACUAUUCACCCACGAAAAAAAUUAAACAGUUUCACACAUAAUUGAACCUUCCAUUCAGCUCUGGCUGUGAUGAAUAAAAAAUUUAUUGCCAAUCUUGCAGGACGAAUCUGGAGCUGAAGUCUCAGCCAAAACUCAAUAGACACAGUGACGAACGUCUGCUAAAAAUUUCAGACCAAAAUACCAAGGAGUAAGGCGUAGUAAGUCCCAGACCGAGAGAGAACAAAACUGGUUUUUCGAAAAGAAAACGUCCUGGCUUUUCUUCCCCUCAUCUUCCUUUUGUGAUUUGUUUAUGGACGUGCCUCCUUACCUGGAAGCAAACAACAUAUGAAAGUACUUGGGUGAGUUUUUUCAGCGCAACACGGACCCAGAAUAAAAUUCCACAAAGUUGGGCGAAAUUUCACAAGUUUUGGUAGAGGAUAGCCUUUCGUUUGCACAAAAUUUAUGAAAAAUUCUCCUGAAAUAGUUUUUUCCUGAAAUUCCACGUAAGAAUCUCCACUGAAUUUGCGACAAAACGUGACAAAUUUCGGGUCAAACGGAUGAGUAUUCACCAACGAAAAAAAUCAAACAGUUUCACACAAAAACGAACCUUCCUUUCAGCCCUGGCAGUAAUGAAUAAAAAAAUUAUUGCCAAUCUUGCGGGACGAAUUUGGAGCUCAAGUCUCAGCCAAAACUCAAUAGACACAGUGCCGAACGUCUGGUAAAAAUUUCAGACGAAAAUACCCAAGGAGUAAGGCGUAGUAAGUCCCAGACUGAGAGUGAACAAAACCGAUUUUCCGAAAACAAAACGUCCUGGCUUUUUUUUCCCGUAUCUUCCUUUUGUGAUUUGUUUAUGGACGUGCCUCCUAACCUGGGUGCAAACAACAUCUGAAAGUACUUGUGUGAGUUUUUUCAGCGCAAUACGGACCCAGAAUAAAAUUACACAAAGUUGGGCGAAUUUUCACAAGUUUUGGUAGAGGAUAGCCUUUGGAUUGCAGAAAAUUUCUGAAAAAUACUUCCGAAAUAGUUUUUUCCUAAAAUUCCACGUAAGAAUCUCCACUGAAUUUGGGACAAAACGUGACACAUUUCGGGUCAAACGGAUGAGUAUUCACCCACGAAAACAAUCAAACAGUUUCACCCACGAAAAACAUCGAACAGUUUCACACACAAACAAACCUUACUUUUUGCUCUGGCAUUGAUGAAUAAAAAAUUUAUUGCCAAUCUUGUGGGACAAAUCUGGAGCUCAAGUCUCAGCCAAAACUCAAUAGACGCAGUGACGAACGUCUGCUAAAAAUUUCUUUCCAAAAUACCAAAGAAGUAAGGCGUACUAAGUCCCAGACCGAGAGUGAACAAAACUGGUUUUCCGAAAACAAAACGUCUUGGCUUUUCUUCCACGCAUCAUACUUUUGUGAAUUGUUUAUGGACGUGCCUCCUUACCUGGGUGAAAACAACAUAUGAAAGUACUUGUGUGAGUUUUUUCAGCGCAAUACGGACCCAGAAUAAAAUUGCACAAAGUUGGGCGAAAUUUCACAAGUUUUGGUAGAGGAUAGCCUUUGGUUUGCCCAAAAUUUAUGAAAAAUUCUCCCGAAAUAGUUUUUUCCUGAAAUUCCACGUAAGAAUCUCCACUGAAUUUGGGACAAAACGCGACAAAUUUCGGGUCAAAUGGAUGAGUAUUCACCCACGAAAAAAAUCAAACAGUUUCACACACAAACGAACCUUCAUUUCACCCCUGGCAGUGAUGAAUAAAAAAUUUAUUACCAAUCUUGCGGGACAAAUCUGGAGCUCAAGUCUCAGCCAAAACUCAAUAGACACAGUGACGAACGUCUGGUAAAAAUUUCAUACCAAAAUACCCAAGGAGUAAGGCGUAGUAAGUCGCAGACCGAGAUUGAACAAAACUGGUUUUCCGAAAACAAAACGUCCUGAUUUUUCUUCCCUGUAUCUUCCUUUUGUGAUUUGUUUAUGGUCGUGUCUCCUUACCUGGGUGCAAACAACAUAUGAAAGUACUUCUGUGAGUUUUUUCAGCCCAAUACAGACGCAGAAAAAAUUACACAAAGUUGGGCGUUAUUUCACAAGAUUUGGUAGAUGAUAGCCUUUCGUUUGCACAAAAUUUAUGAAAAAUUCUCCCGAAAUAGUUUUUUCCUGAAAUUCCACGUAAGAAUCUCCACUGAAUUUGGGACAAAAUGCGACAAAUUUCGCAUCAAACGGAUGAGUAUUCACCCGCGAAAAAAUCAAACAGUUUCCCACACAAACGAACCUUCCUUUCAGCCCUGGCAGUGAUGAAUAAAAAAUUUAUUACCAAUCUUGCGGGAUGAAUCUAGAGCUCAAGUCUCAGCCAAAACUCAAUAGACACAGUGACGAACGUCUGGUAAAAAUUUCAGACGAAAAUACCCAAGGAGUAAGGCGUAGUAAGUCCCAGACCGAGAGUGAACAAAACCGAUUUUCCGAAAACAAAACGUCCUGGCUUUUCUUCCCCGUAUCUUCCUUUUCUGAUUUGUCUAUGGACGUGCCUCUUUACCUGGGUGCAAACAUCAUAUGAAAGUACUUGUGUGAGUUUUUUCAGAGCAAUACGGACCCAUAAUCAAAUUGCACAAAGUUGGGCGAAAUUUCACAAGUUUUGGUAGAGGAUAGCCUUUGCUUUGCCCAAAAUUUAUGAAAAAUUCUCCCGAAAUAGUUUUUUCUUGAAAUUCCACGUAAGAAUCUCCACUGAAUUUGGGACAAAACGCGACAAAUUUCGGGUGAAACGGAUGAGUAUUCACCCACGAAAAAAUCAAACAGUUUCACACACAAACGAACCUUCAUUUCAGCCCUGGCAGUGAUGAAUAAAAAAUUUAUUGCAAAUCUUGCGGUACGAAUCUGGAGCUCAAGUCUCAGCCAAAACUGAAUAGACACAGUGACGAACGUCUGGUAAAAAUUUCAUACCAAAAUACCCAAGGAUGAAGGCGUAGUAAGUCCUAGACCGAGAGUGAACAAAACUGGUUUUCCGUAAACAAAACGUCCUGGCUUUUCUUCCACGCAUCUUCCUUUUCUGAUUUGUUUAUGGACGUGCCUCCUUACCUGGGUGCAAACAACAUAUGAAGGUACUUGUGUGAGUUUUUUCAGCGCAAUAUGGACCCAGCAUAAAAUUGCACAAAGUUGGGCGAAAUUUCACAAGUUUUUGUAGAGGAUAGCCUUUGGUUUGCACAAAAUUUAUGAAAAAUUCUGCCGAAAUAGUGUUUUCCUGAAAUUCCACGUAAGAAUCUCCACUGAAUUUGGGACAAAACGCAACAAAUUUCGGGUCAAACGGAUGAGUAUUCACCCACGAAAAAAAUCAAAUAGUUUCACACACAAACGAACCUUCAUUUCAGCCCUGGCAGUGAUGAAUAAAAAAUUUAUUGCCAAUAUUGUGGGACGAAUCUGGAGCUCAAGUCUCACCCAAAACUCAAUAGACACAGUGACGAACGUCUGGUAAAAAUUUCACACCAAAAUGCCCAAGGAGUAAGGCGUAGUAAAUCCCAGACCGAGAGUGAACAAAACUAGUUUUCCGAAAACAAAACGUCCUCGCUUUUCUUCCCCAUAUUUUUCUUUUGUGAUUUGUUUAUGGAAAUGCCUCCUUACCUGGGUGCAAACAACCUAUGAAAGUACUUGUGUGAGUUUUUUCAGCGCAAUACAUGAUGAGAAUUAAAUAAAGGAGGCCUAUAGUAAUGAAGGACAAGGUCACUCGCCCUCACACUUAAAAAUCUUGUUAUUAAUCUUUGCAAAAGUUGAAGCCCAAGCCCAAGAAGCCCAAGCAAAUCCCAAGCCCAAAGCUCAAGCCCAUAUCUCAAGCCCAAAAAAGGCCAUGCCAAGCCCAAGUUCAAACCAUGAAGGGAAGGCCAAACAAUAAAUAAAAGAGCAUCAUGUGAAUUGCUUUUGGAUAGUUAUAGGAGGUAUGAAUAUUAAAUAAAGAGUGUGAGCUUAGUAAGGGGGGUGUAGAAAUAAUAAGGAGGUGCCAAAGUGAGAGAGGAAGUCACACCUUCCUCAUGUCUAUAGUUGGCGCCACUUUCAUGUAAUUUGGGGGGGAAUUUUGAAUUUGAUUAGCUUUGCAUUUCAGCACCUCUAGGCUAUAAAUUAAGGUGUUGCCCUUGUAUUUUUCAGAUUUGAAUUUUGAUUAGAGAAACUAUACUCAAUUUUUGAGAAAGCAUUGGAGAGCUUUGUGCCUUCCUCACUAGUCUUAUCUUGAGAGUUCAAUGGUUACCUCAAGUGGCGGCUUGCACACUCAUCUUGGAGUCACCAUCCUCUAAGUGGCGUGAUCAUCCAACCAUUCCUCCAUCUUCAUGAGCUUUCUCUUCUCCUUCCUUCCUUCUCUUUUAAUUGUUCAUGUCUUGGCUUGCUUCCUUUGAUUUUCUAUUCGGCAUUUUCAAUUCUUACGAGUUUUGCUUCAGUUCAUUUGCUUCCUUGCUGUUCUUCAUUGUUUCUUCUUCAUUUCUAGUCUUUAUGUUCGGUUCAAUUCAGUUCUAAUCCAUUUUGUUCGGUGCAUUUGCUUUUCCUUCCAUUUUAAUCGGUUCAAUUUGACAAUAAUUGGAACUUCCAUAUGAGUUUGGGUUUUGGUACUAGUUUUGGUGAGUUCUUGUUCAUAGAACCUUGAUCCAAUUCUAUGAUAAAGUGCCUAUCUCAUAUCCAACUCAAGUUGAUUCCUAAGAAUGUCAAGAAUCAUUCAUAUUGUGCUAUUGGAAUCUCAUCAAUACGGACCCAGAAUAAAAUUUCACAAAGUUGGGCAAAAUUUCACAAGUUUUGGUAGAGGAUAGCCUUUGGUUUUCACAAAAUUUCUGAAAAUUCUCCCGAAAUAGCUUUUUCCAGAAAUUCCACGUAAGAAUGUCCACCGAACUUGGGACAAAACGCGACAAAUUUCGAGUCAAACGGAUGAAUAUUCACCCACGAAAAAAAUCAAACAGUUUCACACACAAACGAACCUUCCUUUUAGCCCUGGCAGUGAUGAAUAAAAAAUUUAUUGCCAAUCUUGUGAGACGAAUCUGGAGCUCAAGUCUUAGCCAAAACUCAAUAGACACAGAGACAAACGUCUGGUAAAAAUUUCAGACCAAAAUACCCAAGGAGUAAGGCGUAGUAAGUCCCAGACCGAGAGUGAACAAAACUGGUGUUCCGAAAACAAAACGUCCUGGCUUUUCUUCCCCGUAUCUUCCUUUUGUGAUUUGUUUAUGGACGUGCCUCCUUACCUGGGUGCAAACAACAUAUGAAAGUACUUGUGUGAAUUUUUUCAGCGCAAUACAGACCCAAAAUAAAAUUUCAUAAAGUUGGGCGAAAUUUCACAAGUUUUGGUAGAGGAUAGCAAUUGGUUUGCACAAAAUUUCUGUGAAAAUUCUCCCGAAAUAGUUUUUUCCUGAAAUUCCACGUAAGAAUCUCCACUGAAUUUGGGACAAAUCGCGACAAAUUUCGGGUCAAACGGAUGAGUAUUCACCCACGAAAAAAAUCAAACAGUUUCACACACAAACGAACCUUCCUUUCAGCCCUGGCAGUGAUGAAUAAAAAAUUUAUUGCCAAUCUUGUGGGACAAAUCUGGAGCUCAAGCCCUAGCCAAAACUCAAUAGACACAGUGACGAACGUCUGGUAAAAAUUUUAGACCGAAAUACCGAACGAGUAACUCAUAGUAAGUCCCAGACCGAGAGUGAACAAAACUGGUUUUCCGAAAACAAAACGUCCUGACUUUUCUUCCCCGUGUCUUCGUUUUGUGAUUUUUUUAUGGACGUGCCUCCUUACCUAGGUGCAAAGAACAUAUGAAAGUACUUGUGUGAAUUUUUUCAGCGCAAUACGGACCCAAAAUAAAAUUUCACAAAGUUGGGCGAAAUUUCACAAGUUUUGGUAGAGGAUAUCCUUUGGGGUGCACAAAAUUUCUGAAAAAUUCUCCUGAAAUAGUUUUUUCCUGAAAUUUUACAUAAGAAUCUCCACUGAAUUUGGGACAAAACGCGACAAAUUUCGGGUCAAACGGAUGACUAUUCACCAACGAAAAAAAUCAAACAGUUUCACACACAAACGAACCUCUCUUUCAGCCCUGGCAGUGAUGAAUAAAAAAUUUAUUGCCAAUCUUGUGGGACGAAUCUGGAGCUCGAGUCUCAGCCUAAACUCAAUAGACAUAGUGACGAUUGUCUGGUAAAAAUUUCAAACCAAAAUUCCCAUGGAGUAAUGCGUAGUAAGUCCCAGACUGAGAGUGAACAAAAUUGGUUUUCCGAAAACAAAACGUCCAUGCUUUUCUUCCCCGUAUCUUCCUUUUGUGAUUUGUUUAUGGAUGUGCCGCCUUACCUGGGUGCAAACAAUAUAUGAAAGUACUUGUAAGAAUUUUUUCAGCACAAUACGGACCCAGAAUAAAAUUGCAGAAAGUUGAGCGAAAUUUCACAAGUUUUGGUAGAGGAUAGCAUUUGGUUUGCACAAAAUUUCUGAAAAAAUCUCCCGAAAUAGUUUUUUCUUGAAAUUCCUCAUAAGAAUCUCCACUUAAUUUGGGACAAAACGCGAAAAAUUUUGAGUCAAACGAAUGAGUUUUCACACACGAAUGAACCUUCCUUUCAGGCCUGACAGUGAUGAAUAAAAAAUUUAUUGCCAAGCUUGUGGGACGAAUCCGGAGCUCAAGUCUCUUCCAAAAUACAAUAGACACAGUGACGAACGUCUGUUAAAAAUUUCAGACCAAAAUAUCCAAGGAGUAAGGCGUCGUCAGUCCCAGACCGAGAGUGAACAAAACUGGUUUUCCGAAAACAAAACGUCCUGACUUUUCUUUCUUGUAUCUUCCUUUCGUAAUUGGUUUAUGGACGUGCCUCCUUACCUGUGUGCAAACAACAUAUGAAAGUACUUGUGUGAAUUUUUUCAGCGCAAUACGGACCCAGAAUAAAAUUGCAGAAAAUGGGGCAACAUUGCACAAGUUUUGGUAGAGGAUAGCCUUUGAUUUGCACAAAAUUUCUAAAGAAUUCUCCCGAAAUAGUUUUUUCCUGAAAUUCCACGUAAGAAUCUGCACUAAAUUUGGGACAAAACGCGAAAAAUUUCUGGUCAAACAGAUGAGUAUUCACCUACGAAAAAAAUCAAACAGAUUAAUACACAAACGAACCUUCAUAAUUUUUAAUUGUGUUUAAAAAAUUUAUUGCCAAUCUUGUGGGACGAAUCCUACGAAGGUUCGUUUCUUUGUGAAACUGUUUUAUUUUUUUUUCUAACUAAAUUCUCAUCUGUUUAAGCUGAAAUUUAUUGCAUUUGGUCCCAAAUUUUGUUGGGAUUCUUACACAGAAUUUCAAUGAGAAACUAUUUCGGGAAAAAAAUUCUGAAAUUUCUUGCACUCCAAAACUAUCCUCUUUCCAGAUUUGUGAAAUUUUUCCCUAAUUUAUGCAAUUUUGUUUUGAGUUCAUAUUACGUUGACCUUGUUAAGAAUAUUUCCCAGCAUUCCUCCUCGAGGUAAAGAAUAGAUGUCAAAUGUCAAUCACACCCAAGUAAUGAAUAGAUGUCAGAUGUCACAAUUUGUCUAUCCUCAUAAAAGGAUUUAUUAAAUUAUCCAUUGUUCGCGUUCCCGAAGGUCCCUCUCUUUUAAGAGAAUUCACGGCAUGUUAAAUCCUUGUAAAAAUAUUGUAGAUUUUAGGUAUUAUAUAAUACAAAAAAUUUAAAAAGAAAGAUUUCUGACUAAAAUUUUCCUAAAAGAGGUUAGGGUAGAUGUAAAAGCAAAAUGUAAUAUCUAUUCGUUGAUAAAAGUAGGAUUUAUUUUCUUUGUAAGUGAUUUUUUUUUUCAAAAGCAUGCAUAAAAUGAAACUUUUGAACUACACUAGAAACAAAUUGAGAAACAUUCAUUAGAAAAAAAGAAGAUUAAAAAAAGUGUACAAGUUCGUUAGAAAAUAUAAGAAAAGUAAGAAAAAGAUUAAAUACAUGUGUUUAUUUAUCCUAAUUAUUUUUUGUCUCUAAAAUUGGUUUAUAUUUCAUGAUUUUUUUUCUAGUGUAUGUAGUUAUGUGUUCGCAUGGAUUUCAAAAUUUCUCAUAUUUUAGGAAAGGAAAUAAUUGUGAACUGCUUUUGCUCUGCAUGAUGAGUGAGAGCAUUGAUGGACAACAAAUAUAAUUGAAACAGUAACAUACAAAUAAGAAAAGUGGGUUCUAUUUUAUUCCUUCAAAGACAAGUUUAGAAUCAAAUAGACCCACCAAGAGGUUCAACAAAAGAGUUUGGUUCAGAAAUCCACUUUCCAAUCUACAAUGUUCUAAGAAUUAAUGUUUAAAGUAUUUGCAUUUCAAAACUCCAUUCUAAGAAUUAAGGGUUGUAUAGGNNNNNNNNNNNNNNNNNNNNNNNNNNNNNNNNNNNNNNNNNNNNNNNNNNNNNNNNNNNNNNNNNNNNNNNNNNNNNNNNNNNNNNNNNNNNNNNNNNNNNNNNNNNNNNNNNNNNNNNNNNNNNNNNNNNNNNNNNNNNNNNNNNNNNNNNNNNNNNNNNNNNNNNNNNNNNNNNNNNNNNNNNNNNNNNNNNNNNNNNNNNNNNNNNNNNNNNNNNNNNNNNNNNNNNNNNNNNNNNNNNNNNNNNNNNNNNNNNNNNNNNNNNNNNNNNNNNNNNNNNNNNNNNNNNNNNNNNNNNNNNNNNNNNNNNNNNNNNNNNNNNNNNNNNNNNNNNNNNNNNNNNNNNNNNNNNNNNNNNNNNNNNNNNNNNNNNNNNNNNNNNNNNNNNNNNNNNNNNNNNNNNNNNNNNNNNNNNNNNNNNNNNNNNNNNNNNUUUAAUGCCUAAAAAUCUUGAUGAAAUAUACUUUUAAAUUCCAAUUACAAGUUCCUUAGAUACAGAAUGUCCUUUAUGUCCACUGCAGUUUCCAUUCAAAACUUCAUUUUUUGGAUCAUUUAGUUCCAGUGAUCUAUUAUUAAGUUUAAGUUCAUUUUUUGUCAGAAACUGUAGUAACAUGAAAUAAGAACACAGAAUACUCUGUUCGGAAUGGAUAGCUACACGAUUUUCGUAGUAUUCUAAAAUUAGGAAAAACAUUCGGUUGGAAUUUAAUUUCAACAGAAAAAUUGAAAUAAUUUUGCACGAAAAUAAGAGUAAAAUAAAAGUAAUUGAUUCAUGAAAAACGUAGUUGAGUUCAAGUAUAUCAUGUGCUGCUCUUGUUUGAAAAAUGGCAAUUAUAGGGUUACCGUUUGCAACUAACAAAAUGGUAAUCGAAAAGGUACAAAGAUAUUCUGGAGAAUUGGAACCUGUUGAAGUGGCAGACAAAUUGAAAUAGGUGCACGCCUAAUUUUGAACUUCUGACUCAUCUUAUGAAAGUUCCAGUUUUUGGAUGUGAGCAAUCUUUCCCCAGUCUUCGCCAUCUGGAUUUCGACACCGCUCCUUCAGCAAUGGACAAUCGAAGAUUGUAAGAGAAGAGAUGGAUUUGGGGAGACCCUCCGCUGGUAAGCAUUCAAGGCUGGGACAAUCCUCAAAUAUGAGAGAGGAGAGGUGGCAGAGACCUUUGUAGUGCAUCUUUUUAAGAUUUGGACACCAACGGAUUUCUAGAGAGGUGAGAGAGCGUGGCAGCAAAACUUCAUCGGGAAAACACUCCACCUCCAACUUGUAAAUACACAACCUUUGAAGAGAUGUGUUGGGGUCCAAGUUGUCUCUCAAGGAGGCGAUAAGUUUUAAACAUGAAAGAGACAUUUGUUUUAUAUUUAAUGGCAAACCUCCAUCUGGGAACAACUCCACUUCUGGACAAUUAAUUAUAUGCAGCCCAGUAAGGGACGGAAACAGGAUUUGCAUGCGUUUGGGAAACAGGAAUGAUUUUAAUUGAGGGCAAUCAUUAAUACGUAGAUGCAUGAGAUGAUUAUGAGCGUACUCCUGUGAAAUUCUUUCUAUGUGGUGGCACAAUGUCAGUUCAAGAGAAAGGAGCUUUGGAAAGAAAUGUAGUCGAAAGAUUGCAAGAGAGUCGGUGCCUCCAUCAGUAUGCGAUGUGUCCAUACUGUUUCCGCUAAUUCUGAGCUCAUCACUAACAACUACUUUCGUACCUUUCAGUUUCGGACAUUUAAACACAAAAAGGUCUUGAACACGUGGAAAAGAAGUAGUUUUACACUCCCAUUCUUCCCAUUCCUUCAUAUUAUAGAAGUCUAAGCUCUCCAAGGAUGCAAACGAAGAGUUGCUCCCAUAAAAUUCGGCACCAAUGCUCACUAUUCCAUCAAGACCUCUAAUCUCAAGGGUCUUCAGUGAUGACAAAAGUCCAAGGGGAGGCAAACAUAGGCAGUAUUUACAUUUAAACAACUUUAAGAACACCAGAUUUGAUAACGAAUUAUCGAAUUCCCAACUUGGGAAUUCUGUAGCAUUGUAGUUCCAGAUUGACAAUUUCUCCAAGUGAUUGGAAGGUUGUAGAUUCUGAAGUACUUCCUUUUCUUUCUUUGGAUCAUCAGGGAUGUGGUCCGACUUCCAAUAUAAUUGUAGCUCCACAAGGCGUUUAUCUUUCAAAUUUGCUUUUAAUGCAUCCAAAGGAUUCCCAAUAUUCUGCACGUCAAUGAUUGAUAGCCUUCCAUGAAGAUUGAGUCCUCCCAAUCCGCCCAGUUCCUUAGUACUUAGCUCACUAUUUUUAUCCACGAAAAACAUACUUAGUACUUGAAGAUUCUUCAAUUCUCCAAAAUGCAUUGGCAUCUUUCUCACUUUUGUACCUACAAAUUCCAGGCAACGCAAUUUGGUAAGCUUAUGCAAAUUUAAGGGAAACUCCUCCAACAUUGAACAAUUGUUCAACUUCAGUAUUAGUAAGUUAUAGAGCAAACAUAUCGAGUCAGGUAGCUUUUGUAUCUCUGUAGACGAAAGAUCUAACGAUUGGAGAUGUUUAAGAUCACCUACAGAAUCUGGGACCUCUCUAAGGUGUAAACAACCACGGAAAGAUAACACGCGUAUAAACUUAAUAUUGGAAAACAAAUCAUGUAUCGAAAUCUUGAAAUCCCAUGGAGAUCUCCCAUAUAGUGAGAUAGGAAGAAAUGAACGAAGUUUUUUAGCAUCAGUUAAACUCUCAAAACCAUCAAAACUUUUGACGUCACGGAAUUCAAAUGAAAAAUGACGGGUUGUUUUCUGUAUAUAUUGUUCAUUAUCAAAUUUCAACCUGAAACAGAAAUCCGCAUAUACAUAUUUUGCCAAAUCAUUCAGAAGGUCAUGCAUGACGAAACGCCCUACGACGCUUGAUUUGUUAAAAAAACACCUUGACAGUAGAUCAUUGAAGUACUCUUCCCCAAUUUGUUCUGGAUGUCUAAUAUGUUGUGUACUCAGUAGAAAAUUUUGGGCCAUCCACAAAAAAAUUAACUCCUCCUUCACAAACUCAUAAUCUUUGGGGAAUAAGGCACAAUAAGCAAAGCACCUUUUAAGAUGAGAAGGAAGAUGGUGAUAGCUCAAAAAUAACGCAGGAAUAAUUUCACUGUGUUCUUUUGGUAGCUCCCAUAUGUUACUUUCCAAUAUGUUCUUCCAAUCUGAAAUGGAUGACUUUGUGCUCAAAAGACGUCCAAUUGUUUUCAGAGCUAGAGGUAAUCCCUUGCACUUCUCAACUAUUCUUCUACCAACCUUCAUUAACUCAUCAUUCAAUUCAAGAUCACCAUCUUUUAAUGCAUUAUUUUCAAAAACUUUCCAGCAUUCACCCUCUCCUAAUUGCUUUAGAAGAUGCACUUUAGACCUCAUGCUAGAAGCAACUUUCUCACUGCGAGUUGUGACAAGAAUUUUACUUCCUGGAGCCCCAUAGCUAAGAGGAGUUCCCACAGCUUCCCAUUCAGCUGGUCUUUCGUUCCAAACAUCAUCCAAAACAAGAAGAAAUUUCUUUCCUGACAAUUUUUCUUUCAGUUUUUUGUGAACCAUUUCUAGGUUAACACUAUCAUCUUUUUGAUUUGUGAUUGCCUCUAGAAUUGUUCUUGUCACCGUCAAAACUUGAAAAUGAUCAGAAACACAGACCCAUGCUUUCAUAUCAAAUUUUGCAUCUUCGAUCUUUGGGUCACUGUACACAUGCUGGGCGAGUGUGGUCUUACCCAACCCACCCAUGCCCACAAUGGAAAGUAUUGAUGGCUGGUUAGGAUUGUCGAUUUCAGAUGUGAGCCAAUUAAUGAUUAUAUCUUUGUCAGCAUCUCUACCGUAAAUAACACUUUCAACCACCAAAGAAGAUGACUGCAAUUUCUGUGAGACUCUACUGCCUGAUCUAUCAUUAUCAUCCGAAUAAGUACCCUUUUCCAAACCAAGAGCAUCCUUUUGGUUUGCAAGAUAUUCUAGUCUCCGCAGGACUUCUUUCAUCCCUGAUUCAAUUUUCUUGUUAAAUGAACUGAAAGUAGAGUUGAAGAAAUUUGAUACCUUGUAAGUACAGGUUUGAGGUUGGGAUUGAGCUUCGACUUGGCAUCUGGUGAGCUUAUGGUCUAUUUCACCCAACAGAUCCUCUGCAUCAAAGACAGCCUCUUUGACAGCUAAAAGCCAUGCUUUGACGUGUGGAUCUGUGAGCUGCUUUAGUUCAGCAUCAUCAGCGAGAGCAUUUAUGGAAUGCAGCAUGAUGUUCAAAUUGGCGAGGAGCUUCUCAUCAAGUUUUCUUCUACGAAAGAAGUGUAGAAAUUGAGGAGAAGCGAGCCUGUCGAAUGCAACCUGAAGAAAGGCCGAAAGAAGAGCACCACCAACAAGUUCAGCUGCCAUGGUAGGAAGGAGUUGGAAAUGAAGUGAAAUGGAUUGAAUGCAGGAAUGAAUGGCAAAGUGAUGAGAAGAGUAGUUAGAAAGGAUGACUUGACUUUAAAAAGAACAUGUUUUUGUUUAAUGGGAACUCAACCAAUAUAAAAUGUGAGCUGUUGGAUAUUGAUUCAACGGUUGUGAUGAAUGAAAGUACGGCAGGAAGAGGAACGUACAAUGCAAUAAUUGUUGACAACUGUAAUCAAUGAAUGUAUGUCUGAUUAUUAGGUGAAAUAUUAAAUGAUAUCUGACUCGAAAUAAUAUCUUUUAUGUAACAAUUAUAUUAUAUUCAUGCAAAUUUAGUUGAUGUACUAAUUCCCAUCCUUUCCUUAUUCACUUAAUUUGGUUUAUCUGUCUUUCUUUGUCUCUUUAUUUAUCAUUUUUUUAAUUUGGUUCAAUAGUAAUUUUUAUCUCUUUAUUUAUACUUUUAUUAUUUAUGAAAGGUCUCAAAUUAGUUUUACUUUUAUUUAAAAUUAGUCAGAAAAGAUAUUUUAAUAUUGUUUCAUUGAAUAACUUUAGAGUGGGACUUAACAUUGAUUUGGUAUUAUUGUAGGUACGUAUUAAAUUUGGAUGAUAUUAUGAUAUAUGUGAUUUUAGAAGAAUACAGUGAAGUUCACUGCAAGAAAAAGUGUUUUUAGAAACUAAUUUUUUAGUUUCUAAAAUGCUAAAAUUAGUCACUAACUUCAUUAGAGACUAAUUUAGAAACUAAUAGUUUUAAGUGGCUAAAAUCAUGGUCGUUAAUUUUAAAUACCAAUUUAGAUUCUAAUUUAGAAACCAAUUUAGUUACCAUUAAAUAAAAACCAAUUUAGUGACCAAAUAUAUAGAAACUAAUUUAGUGAUCAAUUAUAUAGAAACCAAAUUAACAACUAAUUUCAUUGAAACCAAUUUAGUGACCAAAAUAUAUAGAAACUCAUUUAGUGACCAAUAUAUAGAUACCAAAAAAUGGUCACUAUAUUAGUCUCUAUAUAAUAUAAUUUAUUACAAAAAUAUUAUUUUAUUUACCUACUUACUCUUUCAUAUUUUAUAUUUAUUUGUAGAUUUAAGUUCACUAAUUUUAAAAUAAAUUUAUAGAGUUCGUCAACUCAAAGUAAUUAGUUCAGAAUCUAAAUAUGGUUAGAAGUGAACAAUUUUUUUAAAUUUUACAAUUUCUUUUUAUGAAUUAUGAAUGUGAACUAAUAUUGUCGUAAAAAUUGGAAGAUAAUCACAUAAAUCCAAGUUAAAUUAUUUGUAUAGGCAGUUCAAAUCUUUGUACAGAACUUUUUAAGGCUUCUUCACAAAUCUUUUCCUUGGGCACUCCAAUCUCCUUGGCCAAAUUCUCUACCCCAAUUUGAGAAUCUAUCACUUUAUCAAAGCGAAUGUAUCUACCAGAAGCAUUGUUGUUCAUUGCCUUGAACACACUUGCAUGAGCUUCAGCAAAUUUGGUCACAUACACUGUUGUUGGCAGACCAAGAGACUACAUUUCUUGACCACCUGCAUUAGCAAUUAUAAAGUAUUUAGAUUAUUAUGCAAACCACAAUGAACUUUUGAACAUGUUAUAUUAUUGUUAUUCUACUCAUGGUUUCUGAAACCAUUUUCAAUUUGAUAAAAUUCAGUUUUUUUUCUCCAGUUUAAAAAUAUAAGCACCAGGAGAAACUUAAAACACAGUUUUCUCUAGUAUAUUAAUAGCAAAUUGUGCAAGAAACAGGACCAAUUAUUUUGGUCAAUAGUAGCACCUUUGAGGUAAGCAAUUGUUGCUGUUGGAUUCCUAUGACAAAAUUGAGGACCUGUGUUAAGAGCUGGGGAAAUGGUAGUGAGCUUUAAACCCUUCUCAUUAGUUAUUCUCCAACAGCCUUCUCUACUCUCAUCUUACCCAGUGCACACCAAAGCUGCCAUACGUAUUCAAAAGAGAUAGCAAAGUCAUGAAUACUAGUUUAUUACCUACAUAAACAUUUUAGAUGGUAAAGAAAAAACUAAGAAAACAACAUUAAUAAGGUGCAAUCAUUGUGCAAAGUUUACAUUCUUUUCUAUGCAGAAUGAUUCACUGCUCCAAGAGCCAUAACUGGGGUGAGGUCUGAUUGUUCAUUUUCUUGCCAGACACAAGCUAAAUAUAAAAAUUAGAGAUAAUUUCAUUAACCAAAAUAUAUAAAAAAAAAAAAUCUUUUGCAAAGUAAAAACAACACCAAAUUGCAGAUUUUCUAGAAUAGAAAGACAUUAAUCUAUCAUACAUCCAACUUCGAUUUUGACGAAUAUCUAUAAUUUAUCGUAUAACACAAUGCUUCAUUCAACUAUAAAAGAAAGUUUUAUAAAAAAAAUCUUAUAAUCUAUCGUUGCUUAAUUUAUUUGAGAACAAUAAAAUAUAUCCUAGACUAUGAACAUAAAAAAAAUCACAAAGGAAAAUACAAUGACUAAAAUAAAAAAUGUCUAACCUUUUUUUUCACCGGAAGAACAAGGGAAACUUGUAGUCACACAGGUGCUAGCCUUGGACUAAAAGAACUCAACCUAUUUACUUACCUACCACACAUAUUAGCUACGUAGACAUUCAACAAAACAGUUUCGUAUAUAAGACUUCUAAAAACCAUUCUUUCCAUUGACAAUUUUUUAGCAUGCAGAUCUUGACAUUCUUCCUCAGAAAAGUCAUCAUUUGAAUUUCCCUAUAUCAUAUAUACCAUAUAUACCUUAUCAACUAGCUUCUCUCAACCAUAUAAGUAUUUGGUGUUCAAAACAUGUGAUAAAGAAAAGUGAGAUAAAAACUUUGAGAGAGGUAUAUUCUAGAAUCCCAAAAGAAAUACAUUGAAAUAAAAGGGGAAAAUAAUAAUUGGUGAUAAUAGGAGGAGAAUGAUAAUGAAAUGAAGAUAAGUCCAAUUAUAAAUUAUGGGCGCAACAAUCAAACAAUAUCUAAUAAGAAGGGCCUAUUUUCUGUGUUGGGUAGUGAUAUAGAUGCCACUUUACAAAAGCAGUGUUCUUAUUAACAUAAAAAACCUUAGACAUUGCAUGUGUUGUUCUCAGAGUUAAACUUAAAUGAGCUCUUGAUAUGUUUGUUGCCCUGUUCUUUAAAGAACCUUUCAAUAAUUCAUGAUCCCAUUUUCAUUCAUACACACAUACAAACAAACAAACAUAGACUUCAUUCGGCCUAACCAAGAAAUUUGAAAUAAUAACGGUUUUCCCAUUGAAGAUGGAAUUAAGAAGCUAUGGCCAUGCAAUGGAGGAACAAGAGGGACAUGAGGAGAUGUAGAGAAAACAAGUAUUGAAUAGCACACACCAAUUAAAAUGAUAAGUAUAGUGCAUGAAAUUACUUUUGUGUUAUAAGGGCUUCAAGGGGUGUAUCACAUAAAACAAGUGGGACAUCUUAAUUAAAUUCUUCAAAAAAGAGUAUGGUUGUGAAAGUAGUUUCAGCACUACAUAUUGAAGUUAGGACAUAGCAUCACCAUACACUUCCCAUUAUUCCUUUGGUUCUCAAAUUAAAGUUAUCCUGUCAUGAAUCAAGUUGGCCAAACUUUUAGCAUUUGACUUUUAGUCUUUAGGAGUAUCUAUGAGCACAGACGUACCAAAUACAAAUACCAACCAACUCAGUAGAGAGUUUACAUAUGUGUACAACUUGACUUAAAUGUAAUGAAUGGUCAAGUACAUAACACUCCCAACUAAUGGGAAAAGAAAGAUAGAUUUAAAGUAUCAAUAUGUGAGGUUGUUUUCGGGUUUUAAAGUAUCAAUAUGUGAUGUCUGGUAACAAGACAGAUACCUCAUUGUUGCACCACUAACCAAUCCUUAAUCCUUAUCCUAAAUUAUAUACUGAUGAAUUUUUUAAUUUAUAAUAAAUUUAGUUCUUCUUUCAGGUUUGUGAUACAGAUCUAUGAUACUUAUAUUUGCUUCACCCAUCUCAUACCGUUUUUAAUCUAUAUGUAACUGUAAAGUGUUUAAAUCUUUAAAGCAUUUUAUGAAAAUCCAAUACAAUUACAUGAAACAUAUAGGUAUGUGUAAUAUAGGAAGGUUGUCCCUUGAAAAUUCAAAAUAUGAGAAUUGUUCUCUUUAUGAAUGAUUUCAAUAUAAAAAUGAGAUUGAUAGUAUUAUUCUUGUAUGUAAAUAGUAAAAAUUAAUUUAAAUAUGUAGGUUGUAUUAACUGAACAUAUGAACUUAUUUAAGCUCUCCAGGAUAUCUGCAUUUGCAAGAUCAAGCAAUGAGGGCAUUUUGCUUAAAUUUUGGAAUACUCUGGCCUAUGAACAUAUUAGUUCUUUGUUUCUACUGUUUCAUUACGAUUUAAUGGUGCUUAGAUUGUUAUACUACUCAAUAGCAAAAUCCAACAUAAAAAAACAAAGAACAAUUUUCAGACUAAUUAACAUCCAGGGGUUCCACACAACAUAUACAGGAGUACAUCUCACUGCCAGUGUCCUAAACAGUGUCUGCAUAAUAAAUUCAAUGCUGCAUAUGUAGGGGUUUCACAGCUUGGUUGAUUAUCUAUAAUUCAAUUUCUCUAUAAUUUAACAUAAUCCACCUAGUCCUUUUCCAUUACACAGAAACAAAUACACGAGUGUGGAAAAGGUAGCUUAAGUAUGUGUUCAUGAAAACAACUUUAAGUUAUUAUCAAUUAGAGUUUGUUCUCUAAAUUUGAUCAUUAAACUUAAAGGAAUAAGCUAAAAGGAGUUUUUUGGAAAAAGGUUAUCUAAGAAGCUUAUUGAAAUAAUAGAGAUUAUACGAGUCAUAAGCUCNNNNNNNNNNNNNNNNNNNNNNNNNNNNNNNNNNNNNNNNNNNNNNNNNNNNNNNNNNNNNNNNNNNNNNNNNNNNNNNNNNNNNNNNNNNNNNNNNNNNNNNNNNNNNNNNNNNNNNNNNNNNNNNNNNNNNNNNNNNNNNNNNNNNNNNNNNNNNNNNNNNNNNNNNNNNNNNNNNNNNNNNNNNNNNNNNNNNNNNNNNNNNNNNNNNNNNNNNNNNNNNNNNNNNNNNNNNNNNNNNNNNNNNNNNNNNNNNNNNNNNNNNNNNNNNNNNNNNNNNNNNNNNNNNNNNNNNNNNNNNNNNNNNNNNNNNNNNNNNNNNNNNNNNNNNNNNNNNNNNNNNNNNNNNNNNNNNNNNNNNNNNNNNNNNNNNNNNNNNNNNNNNNNNNNNNNNNNNNNNNNNNNNNNNNNNNNNNNNNNNNNNNNNNNNNNNNNNNNNNNNNNNNNNNNNNNNNNNNNNNNNNNNNNNNNNNNNNNNNNNNNNNNNNNNNNNNNNNNNNNNNNNNNNNNNNNNNNNNNNNNNNNNNNNNNNNNNNNNNNNNNNNNNNNNNNNNNNNNNNNNNNNNNNNNNNNNNNNNNNNNNNNNNNNNNNNNNNNNNNNNNNNNNNNNNNNNNNNNNNNNNNNNNNNNNNNNNNNNNNNNNNNNNNNNNNNNNNNNNNNNNNNNNNNNNNNNNNNNNNNNNNNNNNNNNNNNNNNNNNNNNNNNNNNNNNNNNNNNNNNNNNNNNNNNNNNNNNNNUUGAACUUCUUAGGAGUAUUUCCAUGAGUUCUCUUAAUAGGGAGGAACAAGAUGUCCUUGAAUGGGGUGGGGAUUCUUCUGGUGAGUUUACGGUUAAGUCUGCGUACAAAUGCUUGGAAAACCAUGCGCCAAUUUGGCCUGAGGGCUUCUUCAAACAGUUGUGGCAGGUCAAAGCACUCCCUAAUGCUCUGACCACUGCAUGGAAGGUCUUGUUGGACAAAAUGCCAACUCGUAGUAGUUUGAGUAGAAGAGGAGUGUUAGUUGAAACCACGGGAUGCGCGUUAUGCCAAGGUUCGGUAGAAACCUCUUACCACCUUUUCUUGGAAUGCAUAGUAGCACAACAGGUGUGGUUUUUGUGUCUAAGGUGGAUGGGGAUUUUGUUUGUCCAACAUAAGGACUUGAAGGUCCACUUUGAAAACUUUCACCUAGUACACUUGAACACAAAGCAAAACCUUGUGUGGAAAGGUUUGUGGGUGACAGCUGUGAGAGGAAUAUGGGAACAAAGAAACCUAGUCAUUUUCAAGCAGGGAAAGCCUGAUGCGGAAGAGAUCUUUCACCGGGCACAACUCAACUCUUGGUUUUGGUUGAAAAACAGAGUACACAAUUUUAACUUCUCUUUCUCAGAUUGGAUCUUAAACCCUGAGCUUUGUGUUAAGAGUUAUAGAUGAAGCACUCUGGUGUCAAGAGGCAAUCCCUGGAUCUGUGGUCGAUGCUUGACCACAGGCAUGGAGUAUGGAGUUUGUUCGUUGUCAAGGUGGUGUUGUUGAGGAAGUUUGAGGCUUGUUUUAUCAAAGCCUGGUUCUGCCAUUGCAAGGAGGGGUGAAGGUUUAGGUUGACAGGCAGGAACCCCUCUAUUUGGGUGAGCUGGUGGUUACUAUACCGGUCCAGGUCAUCAUGGCUUGUGUCUUUGCAAUAGCUCUUGUAUGAACUUUGGAGGUAUCGGCAUUGUUGAUAUGCUGGUUCUGCUAUAUAAACAAUGCACUUGGUGUUAUUUUUUGGGUUUGAGGCAUAUGUUGCGGUCUAUGGUCAAGCUACUGAUAUACUUGGUAGAUGCAUGGUGGUAUGUAGUGGUUCAGGAAGCAAAUGCAGCAAAGUCCGGUAAUCUUUUAUGUUGUGCUGGUCACACCUAGCUGUUAGCAUGUUUUCCCUAGCAGCUUUCCCUCAUCACCAGGCUUUUGUUUUGUUUUGUGCUGGUGUUAUGCAGACUCAGGUUUUGGGACUGAGUAUCUGUAACUAGUUUUAAGUUUUUGAGUUAAGUGGUGUGUCGCUUAACUUUGAUCUAAUUGUUGAAUGCUUAUUUAGGAGUUCUUAUGUAUAAGGGUUGGAACACCCCUAAAUUGUUUCUCUUAAAUUCUAUUAAUUCAUUGCUGAUAAAAAAAAAAAAUAAAAAAAAAAAUUUAACAAGGAGUGCAUUGGAUUGGAGAUAGGAUAAGCAUAUUAUGGACCUCGUUGCUGUUGAGAAUCUUUAAAAUUGUAUUCCAGAGAAAGGUUUUAUCAAAGAAAAGAAAGAAAAGAAGAAAAUAAAAGAGAAACAGUUAUGAAAAAAUGGAGUACAACAGCCACUUCUAAGGGUUAUAUUCUGUACUGAUUACUUUACCAAUAACUUCUGCACUUCACAAUUUUCAGUGUCCUAAACAGUGUCUGCAUAAUAAAUUCAAUGCUGCAUAUGUAGGGGUUUCACAGCUUGGUUGAUUAUCUAUAAUUCAAUUUCUCCAUAAUUUAACAUAAUCCACCUAGUCCUUUUCCAUUACACAUAAACAAAUACACGAGUGUGGAAAAGGUAGCUUAAGUAUGUGUUCAUGAAAACAACUUUAAGUUAUUAUCAAUUAGAGUUUGUUCUCUAAAUUUGAUCAUUAAACUUAAAAGAAUAAGCUAAACGGAGUUUUUUUUGGAAAAAGGUUAUCUAAGAAGCUUAUUGAAAUAAUAGAGAUUAUACGAGUCAUAAGCUCAAAUAAACUUCCAAUAAGCUCUUCAAAAUACUUCCUUAGAUAGAAAUAGAAUUAAAAUCCUCAAUUUCUUCAUUUGUUAUGAAUUCAGAGAAUGUUAAUCUUUUUAAAGGCAGGUAAAAGCAUAGACCACAUAGGUAUAAUCAAGUGAAUAUUUAGACGUGAAUUCCUCCUACACCACUCAUGCCAACAUAAUAAUAACUUCCAUGUUUUUCCAAUGGCAGGAUAUCUCAAGAAUGAAGAGUGAUCACUAUUUGUUUAAUGUCUUAUCUAAAAGUAAACCAAAAGCAUAGCUGUAAAAGGAAAAGGAAAAUAAAACUAGUUUAUAUUCAAUACAAGUUCCUUAGAAACAGAAUUCAGAAGAAGCCAUUCUUAAUGUACCCAAUGUUCUCAGUGAUUUCCUUUCAUCUUGUCUCCAGUCAAUACCCCUAGCUUCAUUUUAUCAUGGACAGCCUUUUCAAUAUAUCAUGAACCUGUAUUUUCAUUCAAAAAUAAUCAAGAACAUGAAAACUGAACUGGUGUGAAUAACUGCAUUCUAUUAAGUUUGUUUUCUUUGUCAGAAACUUUAUUAAUUUAACGCACCAAGCAUGGAUCAAGAAGAAAGAUGGAUAAGUGUGGACAAGAAAAUCAAUUUUCUGGAAUACCAAGCUACAGGAUGGUGAUGGAUGGAACUAUACCUUCCAACUACAGAGUAAUCUUUAGAGAAUAAACGCCACAUGCUAGAACUUCAUGCACUUCACAAUUUUUAGUGUCCACAUCCACUUUCUGAAUAUUCAAGUCACAACCAUCAAUCACUAUUUCUUGAAGGAAGUCGUAAUGGAUCAUGGAUAUUUUCACAACUGAGUAAGUCCAAAAGCUGAAGGCAUGUCACCAGAACCAAACUCACUUUAUAUCUAUAAAAGAAAAGGCUGAAUUUCAAUGUUGAAAUAUUUGUUAAUUAUAUGAGAAAGACUACCAUCAUAUUGCCAAAAGUAUCGUAUAAAAGAUGCUUUAAAAUAGUAAUUAAAAUUAAGAUAUUUCUAAUCCCAGGUAUUUAUAUUAUUUAGUUGAACGCAUGCAUUAAAUGAACUAACUAGCAGUGUAUGAAUCAAAUAAUUUAUAAAAUAUCAAGUUGUGUUUUAUCUUACUGAGGGCUAAAUAUGAUUUGUAGAGAAGUAAGUGUGGCAAGCAGAACUUCAUCGGGAAAAGACUCCAUGUCAACCUUUCCAAUACACAAGCUUGGAAAACAUGUGUUUACAUCCAAGGUCUCUCUCAGGGAGGCCAUAAGUUUGAAACUUGAAAGAGACACGUGUUGAAAAUUCCACAUCAAAUAUUCAAGCGACGAGGUGUCCAUGCUGUUUCCGCUAGUCACGACCUUAUCACACAUAAACAUAACUAGUUUCUUUAAAUGAAGAAGAUGUUCUGACAGACCUUUCAGCCUUCUACAACGAUACACAUAAAGACACUGAAGACGUGGAAAAGAAGUAGUUUUCCAUUUUCCAUUCUUAUAAUAUUUUACAUAUUCUAUUCGGUAGAUUCCUUUAGUGCUUUUUUUAAUGCUUUCAAGUGACUUGAGAGGCAUAACCAAGUGUUGUUUCAUAAAUCUAUAAUAGUGAGAAAACAUGAAAUGCUCACAACUACAAAUGUCAUUUACCUUUGCUAGAGACUCUUUCUCCCCUUGUUUUACAAGGGAUAGUGAAUCAUUACAAGCAUACUUGUAAAACUGAUGAGAUACAUAUUUUAUGUUUGAUUACAGAUAUAUAAAACAUUAGCAGAUUGAUUUUUAUUCAACGGUUUUGAUGAGUUGGAGGACUGAAUAAUUCCAGACUUUAAACUUUUAGUGCACAACAAGAGUUUUUCUGUUGCAGGAGGAUCUCCAGAUUGUAGAGGAGAGGUAAUAAAGUAGUAAAAUAUAAUUGAAACAGUAACAUACAAAUAAGAAAAGUGGGUUCUAUUUUAUUCCUCCAAAGACAAGUUUAGAAUCAAAUAGACCCACCAAGAGGUUCAACAAAACAGUUUGGUUCAGAAAUCCACUUUCCAAUCUACAAUGUUCUAAGAAUUAAUGUUUAAAGUACUUCAAAACUCCAUUCUCAGAUGUUGGAGUUUGCUCGGGAAUUGUAUAGGAACUCCUCAUCAGAACCCAAUUUCAUACUUAUUUCCUCUGUAUAAUACAAUGGUACACUGCUACAAACCAACUUUGAAAGAGCUGUGGAAGAAAUAAGGUAUAAAUAAAAGCAUAAGCACAUUGUUCCAUUGAAAUUAUUGACUUAAAAAUCAAGAAAGAAUGAGUGUAUCCUCAAAAAUACAUUAGCAUAAAUUUUUUUUAUAGAGCUGCAUGUUUAGAUUUUUCCAAUUAAAGUGCAGUUCUAAAGCUUCACAAUGUUAAUUGCAUUCACAGCUAGCUUCAUAUUUAGAUAAAAAAAAGUGUUAAAAUAAACAAAUGUGCUGCAAUGGAGUUGGACUAGCUACAGCUUGAAUUGAAUACACUCAGAGAUUUGGAACUUUUCCCAAAAUCCUAUCAAACUCAGUCUUCAUUGAACACCAUAAGACUUAUUUUAAUGCCUAAAAAUCUUGAUGAAAUAUCCAAGACCUUUUUAAUAAAGAAAAAAGUGGUUUAAAAAUACUUUUAAAUUCCAAUUACAAGUUCCUUAGGUACAGAAUGUCCUUUAUGUCCACUGCAGUUUCCAUUCAAAACUUCAUUUUUUGGAUCAUUUAGUUCCAGUGAUCUAUUAUUAAGUUUAAGUUCAUUUUUUUUGUCAGAAACUGUAGUAACAUGAAAUAAGAACACAGAAUACUCUGUUCGGAAUGGAUAGCUACACGAUUUUCGUAGUAUUCUAAAAUUAGGAAAAACAUUCGGUUGGAAUUUAAUUUCAACAGAAGAAUUGAAAUAAUUUUGCACGAAAAUAAGAGUAAAAUAAAAGUAAUUGAUUCAUGAAAAACGUAGUUGAGUUCAAGUAUAUCAUGUGCUGCUCUUGUUUGAAAAAUGGCAAUUAUAGGGUUACCGUUUGCAACUAAGAAAAUGGUAAUCGAAAAGGUAGAAAGAUAUUGUGGAGAAUUAGAACCUGUUGAAGUGGCAGACAAAUUGAAAUGGGUGCACGCCUAAUUUUGAACUUCUGACUCAUCUUAUGGCCAAACAUGCAGUUUUUUUAUGUGAGCAAUCUUUUCCCAAUCUUCUCCAUCUGGACUCUAACAACGCUCCUUCAGCAAUGGACAAUCCCAUAUUGUAAGAGAAGAGAUGGAUUUGGGGAGACCAUACAAAGAUAACAUGCGUAUAAACUUAAUCUUGGAAAACAAAUCAUGUAUGGAAAUCUUGAAAUUCCAUUGAGAACACCUAGGUUCUAAGAUAGGAAGAAAUGAACGAAGUCUUUUAGCAUCAGUCAAACUCCUAAAAUCAUGAAAACUUUUGACGCCACUGACUUCAAAUGAAAAAUGACGGGUUGUUUUUGGUAUACAUCGAACUUUAUCAAAUUUCAACCUGAAACAGAAAUCUGCACAAACAUAUUUUGCCAAAUCAUUCAGAAGGUCAUGCAUAAGGAAACAUCUCCCGCCACCUGAUUGUUGGAAAAAAGACCUUGACAGUAGAUCAUUGAAGUACUCUUCACCAACUUCUUUUGGAUGUCUAAUCUGUUGUGGACUGUGUAGAAAAUUUUGCGCCAUCCACAACAAAAUUAACUCCUCCUUCACAAACUCAUAAUCUUUGGGGAAUAAGGCACAAUAUGCAAAGCACCUUUUAAGAUGAGAAGGAAGAUAGCGAUAGCUUAGAAAUAGUGCAGUGAUAAUUUCACUGUUUUCUUUUAGUAAUUCCCAUAUAUCACUUUCCAAUAUGCUUUUCCAAUAAGAAAUGGAUGAUUGUGUCCGUAAAAGACAUCCAAUUGUUUUCAAAGCUAGAGGUAAUCCCUUGCACUUCUCAACUAUCCUUCUACCAAUAUCCUUUAGCUCAUCAUUCAAUUCAAGAUCACCAUCUUUUAAUGCGUGAUUUUCAAAAACUUUCCAGCAUUCAUCUUCUCCUAAUUGCUUUAUGUGAUGCACUUUAGACCUCAUGUUAGAAGCAACUUUCUCACUACGAGUUGUGACAAGAAUUCUACUUCCUGGAGCCCUAUAGCUAAGAGGAGUUCGCACAGCUUCCCAUUUGUCUGGUUUUUCGUUCCAAACAUCAUCCAAAACAAGAAGAAAUUUCCUUCCUAACAAUUUUUCAUUCAGUUUCUUGUGAACCAUUUCUAGGUUCCCACUGUCAUCUUUUUGAUUUGUGAUUGCCUCAAGAAUUGUUCUUGUCACGGUCAAAACAUGAAAAUGAUCAGAAACACAGACCCAAGCUUUGAUAUCAAAUUUUGCAUCUUCCAUCUUUGGGUCAUUGUACACAUGCUGGGCGAGUGUGGUCUUACCCAACCCACCCAUUCCCACAAUGGAAAGUAUUGAUGGCUGGUUAGGAUUGUCGAUUUCAGAUGUGAGCCAAUUAAUGAUUAUAUCUUUGUCAGCAUCUCUGCCAUAAAUAACACUUUCAGCCACCAAAGAAGAUGAUGGCAAUUUCUGUGAAGCGUUAGUACCUGAUCCAUCACCAGAAUAAGUACCCUCGUUCAAACGAAGAGCAUCCUUUUGUUUUGCAAGAUAUUCUAGUUUCUCCAGGACUUCUUUCAUCUCUGAUUCAAUUUUCUUGUUAAAUGAAGCGAAAGUAGAGUUGAAGAAAUUUGAUACCUUGUAAUUAAAGGUUUGAGGUUGGGAUUGAGCUUGGACUUGGCAUCUGGUGAAUUCAUAGUCUAUUUCACCAAAAAGAUCCUCUGCAUCAAAGACAGCCUCUUUGACAGCAAGAAGCCAUGCUUUGACGUCUGGAUUUGUGAACUGCUUUAGUUCAGCAUCAUCAGCGAGAGCAUUGAUGGAAUGCAGCAUGAUGCUCAAAUUGGCGAGCAGUUUCUCAUCAAGUUUUCUUCUACGAAAGAAGUCCAGAAGUUGAGGAGAAGCGAGCUUGUCGAAUGCAACCUGAAGAAAGGCCGAAAGAAGAGCACCACCAACAAGUUCUGCUGCCAUGGUAGGAGUUGGGAAUGGAGUGAAUGGAAGUGUGUGAUUUGAAAUGGAUGAAGUGCAUAGAUUGCUAUAGUGAUGAAAUGAGUGGUUAGCUAUUUUACGAAGAAGAAUGAGUCACUUUAAGGAGAGUGGAACAUCUUUUUCUUUGAUGGCUACUCAACCAAUAACUUUUAAGUCUUUUUCCGAUAACGAACGCAAACUUUGUCAGCUUUGUUCCGCAAUAUAAAAUGGGAGCUGUUUGAUAUUCAUUUAACAGUUGUGGUGAAAGUUUGAGAUCCUGAUAUGGAGAGAGGGCUGUGGGCCCAAGUUAAGCAAUAACUAUUGAGUCUUUCUGAUAAGAAAAGUGUUCACAGUUGUAAUCCAUUAAUGGAUGUGUGACAAUAAAUAAUAUUCUGACUUGAAAAUAUAAAAAGCAAUAUCUUUUCUACAACCUUUCUUUAUUCACUUAAUUUAGUUUAAUAGUGAUUUUUAUCUCUUUAUUUAUAAUUUAUAAUUUAAUUUUAUUAUUACUAGACACUUAUGACUUUUUUUAAUCAAAAAAGGCCCUUUAAUGACUUUAAUGGCUUACAGAGCACUACAAAUUCGGUAUUAAAUCUGGUGUUCUUAUAGUUGGAAGACUCUAUAUUUACCUUCCCUUUGGACUUUUUUCAUCUCUGAAGAUCCUACAAAUUACAGGGCUUGAUGGAAUAGUGAGCAUUGGUGAUGAAUUUUUAAGUUAUAGAAUUUUAUAGCCUCAGACCUGCAGUUAUAUUACAGUGAAGACAGAAAACAACUAUCUCUUUAAGCAUCAUCAACUUUAAGUCCUUCUGAAUAACAUGUUUUCUUAUAGUUGCAACCAUGUCCUUUCUUUGUAGAAAUUCUUAUCUACUCAGGUCAAUCUUUGCAGAUGGCCAAAUGGAGAAAAUUUGUAACUGGAUUCAAUUUGGAUUAAUGCAUGUUUAUGUGUACCUUAGCUUUUUGUUUGUCACUCUUAUUUAAGUGUUCAUUAUAUUGUUGAGUUUUUUAUUCAUACUUCUUAGACUUCUUUUCAUCUUAAUUAUAAAAUCAACACAAGCAUGGUCCUAUCUCAUCUAACCAAAAUACUAAAUUUCUUUCUUCCAAUAUGUAUUUACUAUACACCAGUUUGAAAAUCAAAACCUCUUUAUCUUAGUACAUGUAAGAAAAAAGGCCAUAAUACUAAUAUUGAACUAUUAUUAUAGUCUUGUAGUUGACAUUAAUAUAAUGUUUGUAGUUGUUUUAGGAACUUCCAUCAGAUAAUAAAGUAUAUUGUAAAAUAUCUAUUGCUUCUUCCAUUAAGAAAUACAAGGACCAUUUUUAGGUACAACAAAUACUCAAGCUUUACACAGCUAAUCUACAUCAGGUGACUGCUACACAAAUUCUCCUCUCCUAAUUUUAUAAACAAAUGUAAACCCAAAGAGGAAAAGAUAAAAAAAAUUAAAAGCUAUUUGCAAUGUUCACUACUUCAAUGCCACUUCCCAACUCAGCAUGAAAUCAAAUACAAUUCCAAGGUCUAAGGAUGUAUGUUUAGAAGCAUUUACAUUUCACAACUCCCUUUGCUCCAAUCUUUCUCUGAGGUGUAUUAGUUUUCCCUGGACCUAUUCAGGUAACUCAUCAUGUGAUAACCCAAUUUCAAUCUCUUCUACUUGUUCUCUCUGUAUAAUAUCAUGGUACAUUGGUAGAAACCGACUUUGGAAAGACGUAAAUAAAUUUUAGGAGUUUUUAUAGUACUUUUAAUUUUAAUAUAUUAUUUAAAUAAAAAUAAUAAUUUUCUUAUCAUUUAGACAUCAAAUCUUUCUUUUGAAAUGAAAACAAUGUUAAUAUUUGAGUCUCAUGUUAGAAAUUUUGUGCUUGGUUUACAUAUUUAGAAAGUUAUGCUACAUAUAAAGUGUAUGAAUAAAAAAUUAAUGAAACUCUAAAUCCACUCUUUGAACAUAGAAGAUUUGUAGAAAGGAGUUAGCUCCUAAUAGACUUUUUAUCUCCAACUAUACAAGACAAUACUUGGUAAACAAGAAACUUUACACUUUUGUAAGUUUGUUGUUGCUGUUCAGAGUCCUUAAACUUUUAGUGCAGAGCAAGAGUUUUUCAGGGAAUCUAUAGACUCUAGAGGAGAGGUAAUAAAAUAGUAAAAUAUAAUUUAGUUUUAAUUUUGAAUGGGAAGAGAGAUUAGAAGGAUGUGAAAUAAAACAGGAGAGACAUGAUAUUUUAUUGAAAUAAUCAGAAUUGUUUGAGAAUGGAUACUUAAUGAGGUUUUAAACAACAUUACAAUAAUCAUGACGAGAGACCAUCCAUCAAUGCCUGAUAGCAGAAAUUAAAGGUUAUAAUCUAAUAUCUAAUAAACAUUCAAGAGAACCAAAUUCAGAAAACAGAGAUUUACUCACACUCAGAUGUGUUAAGAGUAAGCAAGUAGUGAAUUUGGUUAAAUUUAUACGGACUUCAUUUCGUAUAAGUGUUGCAAAGGUUAUCUUUAUAUAGUUAGUCAUUACAACCUAAUUAGUUAUUAGUUUAUCAAUGCCAAUGAGGUUAAUUAAGAGUAAGAUCUCUAAAGAGGUCUCUUCUACUCCCUCCAGAUAUAGAAAAGGAUACUGUAAA